rnacentral:lncRNA from 1 species
UUCAGAUGAACUAUGGCAUGCAAACACCAUGGAGAGUCUCCCUCAUGACAUUGUGAUGCUCCCAUUGCUGAGUAUGGAUAAGGCCAAUGUUGCGCACCUUUCAUUGAUUGACUGGGAUGGUGGAUUCUCAUUAGUUUCCAUCGACUUGAGUAACAUGCAAGUGAUGGGCCCAGUCAUUACAUACCUCAAAGGGAAGGAUGAUACUGCUGAUGCUGACAUCGUCGAGGAAAAGAAAGGAUUAGGUGCACACUUUAUUCCAUCCGAAUUCCCCAAGUUCCUGGAUCUCAGGUAACUUCAGCGUUGCCUCCCACUUUUACUUGAGCACAAUUUUUUUUCAUGCAGCCUUUUGCUCUCUUUUUUUCAGCAGUUAAGGUUUCUGCCAUGUUAUUCUUGAAACCUUUGAGGAAUCAACAGAAUGUGCUGGUUGCUGGGAGUAAUAUGGAUCAAUGUUUUCAAGUCUUUAUGUUGAGUCUAGUCGCUGGGGUACCAACUAGAUGGCUAAUCGUGACUAGGCAACGAUUAAAUGGCGAUUAGCUAUGAGACCAGUCGAUCCACCCUUGCCUAUAGUAGAGAAUGAUAGAGUAUAACACAAAGGUGACGAACUGAUCUCUUGGUUUGAGCCCAACACAUAAUUGUUUUUUUUGGAUUCUUCAAUCUGAAAGUGCAUAAUAGCGUGCCAGCGUUGUGCUUUGUUUCCUUCACUAUUUUGAUUCUACAUGUCAAAUUAUUGAAAGGUUUUGUUCAGUUACCAACAACAUGGAUCCUUAGAAGUAGGUGGCACCCAGCGAAUCAGCAUCAUAUCGAAGAACCCCUAGGUCUUCUAAACAAACCGGCUGGAAUUGUGGAAAUCAAUUAAACUUAAUUAUAUCCAUAGUGCCUUCCUUGUAUAUCAUGUUUCAUUCAGCCAGUAGUAACCUCAGCAACUUGACGGUCUUGGGAAAUUAGGCAAUGGUAGUCUGCCUGAGGUUAAUAUAGGCCCUUUUUGUAUCCGCUUAUUUCCUGCUUAUCAAUGGAAAUAAGCGAUAAGCCCACCCAAAUGCCUAGCUUAUUUCCCGCUUACCUCCCAAGCCGCUUAGCCCACAAUCUGGAAAACAACUAGCGUCCCGCUUAUUCUCUAUGCGGUCUUGGGGCCGCUUCUUGGGCAAGCGAAGCGCUUUUUCCUGAUACCCUCACCCGUCCGCUGCCUGCCGCCCUCCGACCGUCGUCGGCUCCGUCCGCCGCCCGCCUGCCUCCAUCGCUUCCCUGCACAAAUCCCAUCCAGAUCCCGUUGCCAUCAGUCACCAGCACUCCUGCCCAGAUCCCGUCGCCGCCGGUUCCGUUCGCUGCCCGCCGCCGGCCGACCCUACGCUUGGCCCCCUGUGCUUGGCCUCCGGCCGGCCCUGCUGUUCUUUUUUGUGAAGGAGGUGGCGGAGUGCUGGCCGUCUACUGCUGAGUGUUGGUCGUGAGCAGCAUUUGAGCUCGCCGUGCGUGCUGCCGUUGUUGUUGAGAAGGAGCUAGAUAUGGGUGCAUUGCGUCAUGUUAUUGCUGUCGCUAUGGUUCGUGAUUCGUUGUUGUACUCAUGAUGGAUGUUUCCAUACUAGACCGUUCUGUCAUAUGAAUUUCAUAUUAUUGUAAUGAAAUUUCUAUUUAACAAACUCCAAAAAUAUUGGAAUUAUUAUCUUCUCCUCAGAUUCACAAUAAAAAUGAGCUAUUAUCAGCCUCAGGGGCAUUCAGGUCAAUUUACUAGCCAGGACAGACAAUCGACACAAAAUAAUCAGGAUUGCCAAACACCCAGCUUAUACAGACAGCGGAUUCUCCAGACAGCAGGCAGGCUUUUAAGAUAAGCCUGCUUGCCAGAUAAGCGAGUUCAGAAAAACGUAUACAAACAGGACCAUAAAUGUUUCACAGCUUAUUCUGUUGCCUAACUGUUGCUUGUCACGUUGAUCCCAAAAUCGACCAUAAGCUAAGUUAUUUUUUCUUAAUGACGUCCGAGGCACCUGAGAAUCUUUUAUAAUUCUUGGUAACCAUGGAUACUAUCAAAAUAACUUCAGCAAUGGGUGAAUCUAAGACUAUGGGAAGCCUAAAUUUCGAUUUGUACAGAUUAUCUCUGCUGAAAAAAAUUAUUGAAAUCAUCAGCAUGUGUUGUAGCUGACAAUUAUUGUUUCCUAUUUGUAUUGAUGAAGUUCUUGCUACUGUAUUGCAGGAAGAGAGAGAAUCAUCCAUAAGUCCUGUCACCAUAUCGGCUGGCCACCGUCGUCAUGUGUGUUGCUUCUUCAUUUUCCAGUUCUGUUGUGCUGGAUUCUACUGCCGACUUUGUUGAUUGGCUACUACAAUUCUGAGUUUAGUCCUCAGCUUUUGUGUGUUCCCUGCACUUGUGUACUAUAAAUAGCCAGGAAAAACACCUUUACCCGGCUCAUCCGUUGAACUAUAUGAUAAUGCUAGAUGAUGUGUCCAUGCCUUACUAACGUCUUCUACAUGCCAUGCGAGUUAAAAAUCCUGCAAUCAUGUUUCGUGGUAGCAGUUUACCUUUGCACAAUGAAACUCCUCACUAAACCACAGUUCAAUUUGAGGGACUACUGCGUUGUUUUUACAGGGAUCUAAUGCCAUCAAUCAAAUUGUAAAAUACAGACAGGUACGCGUGGAAUGGACACUUGUGUUCAUUCAGAUUUUUGUGAUAUUUCAUACCUAAUGAUUACCAGGUUGUCACGCCCCUACAUGCAAAAUUGGUCUACGAGAUGGAAUAUAAGCUCAAAAGGACGUGAGAGCUGUAUUAUCAUGUAGCUCAUGACCUGGCAGAAGUGAAUAGUUGCACGAAAUACAACAUUGCAAACAAGGUUUUUAUUCAUUUUCUCUGCUGAUGGCACAUGGUAGCAGAAGCAGUGCCACCAAUUGGUGAAAGAUUUUCAGUAAACUGAGUGUUUGACAGAACAAUAUGAUGCCACCAAAGCAAUCUGCAUGAGUUCUCUACCUCCGGAAGUCCAGAUGGUUGCUCUGUUUCAUUCCUCACCAUGGUCAUGGCAGGGCGUGAUGGCACCCCCCCCCUCCCUAGGCGGGGCGCGGAGGCUGCAGGUUCAACUCAGAGUUUAGACCUUAACUUGUUCGUGAGCAAUGCAGAAUGCUACAAAUGUAAUACAGUGGGCAUGCAUGAUGCUGAAACAAACUAGUGCAACUUUUAGUGGAACAAUUGAUGAAUUAUGAUGUGUUGUCCAAGUAAAGGAUCGGUGGUGUUGUUUUGCUGAUCUUUUAGCAAAAAUCUAGUGAUAGUGUGUGGAUAUAUAUCCUAAGUUCCUAAUAACUCAUAGAUGAACAAUGAAUGCUAUAUUGAAUUGAAGCCAUGUUUGUUCUAUUCAAAAUGCAGGGAGCAUGCUCGAGCGGGCUUGGGGGGUCAUGGAGGGUCUGCUAAUGCUGGCACAAAGCCAGACUGGUUCCUUGAAGGGUGAGUAAUUAAUAUCUUUGAUUCAUCUAAGCAGUGCAAAAGUGAUGUGCUUAAUGCCUUGGACAAUGAAGCACCAGCUACUUCUAUGUUUUUUCCACCAAGAUUAGCUCAUGAUUUUGUCACUUUUUCCCACAACCUGCAAGUUUUGAAGCACUUUACUUUUGCCAUGUUAGCCAAAAUUUGGAGACAAGUACAAAGAGUAAGGAUAACCAACUCAUUUCUAGUAUUGGAGCAUCAAAAUCUAGUUCUGGAGCAUCAAAAAGGUAAUACACAGAUCUUAAAAAAUUGGUCAUACUGCUAUUGCUAUUUUGUUGCUACUGUUAUUUUGUUGUCUUUUGUUCAAAUCUAGUUCUAGCAUACACAUGUCAAUAUCAGAUUCAAAUGAACCUCCGCCUACUGCUGCUCCAGUCAAGGCAAAGAGCAAAAGGAAAAAGGAGCCUACUAAAAUGAAAACCACCAUUUCUAUACUGCCACUUGACAGCCCUACAAUGGGCCAAAAAACAAAAGGGUGGAUCCUGCUAGCCCUGCAAUGAGCACAAGGAGCAAAAGAAGGCUCAACCUGUGAUCCUUAUGAAUCUAUAAAUUUGGACUCCGCCAUGAAUCUUUUUAUAUAUCAACCUUUGUGUGUGAACUUGCAUGUGAAUUUGAACUCCUAUGUGAACUUGCAUGUAUAUGUGGUGCCGUUCUGUGAGCUGUUGCGAUAAAAGGAGCUAAGCCUCAGAGCGUUUCCUAGGAUCUGAAUGAAUUUUUCCUUCUUUUUUCUGCUGUCCAGAUCUACUUCUGAGGGAGUUGGAUAUAUUCUAAGGUGCUUGCCAGGUGUUCAAGAGAGGAUUCUGCUUGUUUUUCGUGCGUGUAUAAUGGAGCAACAAGUGGAGGAGGCGAACGGAGCAGCGGUGGAGACCUGCCACAGGGUGCUUGCUUUGCAGAAAAAAAUCAGAAAAAAAAGGCAGGCAGUCGCGUGCAUGCUCCCAGCAAGGAAAAUGAGGCAGAAAAAAAACAAAAAAAUGGCAGCUGCAUGCGCCCGCGCGAUCUGCAUGCACCGGCCAGUCUGCAUGCGUCAGGAGAAGAAGACCCACCUGCACACACCCUCCUUCCCACCCGGCCAGGCCCAGACGCAGGAGACAAGAGAUUAAAGAGGAUAAAUCGAAUCAAUAGCCAACUCCUCUCGUCGUCCUCCCCUCCAAAUCGAGGUAUACCCCAAACCCUAGCCAUCCCCAAUCCGGCCGCCGCGUCUACCGAUCCGUUAGAUUCAUGGCCGCCGCCGCUGCCGGCGACUCCGCUGUACCCAACUGGGUGAUGCUGGAGCGCUUGGUCUUCCGGAGGGACGACCCCGCCUCCUUCCGCGAGGACAGGAGGACCUUCGCUUCCGGCACCACCUCCGCCGGCACUCAAUUCGACGUCUCCUUCAUCCUCGCCGAGCCUCCCACCCCCUCGCGCCUCUACCUCUCGUGGCCGGAAGGGCCCAAGCAGGGGAGCCAGGGCCUGGUCAUGGCGGCCAACCGCAACCUCGUCCUCCUCAGGCUCGAGUACCGCGUCGACGAAUCCGUGCAAUUCGGGGAGGUAGUGCAUGAUUACUUCAUCUACAUAGCUGAUCCCUCCUCACAGCGGAAACCCCUGCUCAGACGGCUGCCCCGCUGCACCGAGUACAACGAUUAUUUUGAGAGGCAAGUUACUCGCGCGUUUCCGGUGCUGGCUGUUGGUCUGUUGUGCCAUGGCGAAGACGAGUUUGCCGUGGCGCAUCUGGCCAUCAGGUCUCGCAAAAAAAAAUCAGGGUCUCGCAAAAAAAAAAUCAUCUAUGCAAGCUGAGCUAUGCGUGCUACGCUCGUCAUUGUCCUGCAGUGAUGAUGCCAAAUGGGAGACCAAGGUCUUUCCGCUACAGUACCAAUACGAUGAUUUAUACUAUGAUUUUCUGAACUGGGAAGUGGAUGGUGUAGUUCCCUUCAAGAAUGCCUUGUGCUGGGUUAACUACUGUAGAGGCAUCCUUUUCUGCGACGGCGUCUCUGAAGACAGACCCAAGGUCUCCUACAUCCGCUUGCCUCUGGAUACUUAUUUCCAAGGGACUGAUGCCGAUGGACGCAAGGGGAUGUACCAUGGCUUGUGUGUCACUGAAGGUGGCCAUCGGUUGGUAUUUGUUGAUGUUGCCCGUCAUGAUGGAAAAUGUUAUGGCCCGAGGAUGCCCAACACUGGUUUCACCCUCACCUCCCGGACAUUGAAGAUGACAGGGAAUUGCACCAUGCCGUGGGAGUGGAAUGAGGAUGCUGUUGUCACUUCAGAUGAACUAUGGCAUGCAAACACCAUGGAGAGUCUCCCUCGUGACAUUGUGAUGCUCCCAUUGCUGAGUAUGGAUAAGGCCAAUGUUGCGCACCUUUCAUUGCUUGACUGGGACGGUGGUAGAUUCUCAUUAGUUUCCAUCGACUUGAGUAACAUGCAAGUGAUGGGCCCAGUCAUUACAUACCUCAAAGGGGAGGAUGAUACUGCUGAUGCUGACAUCGUCAAGGCAAAGCAAGGUUUAUGUGCACACUUUAUUCCAUCCGAAUUCCCCAAGUUCCUAGAUCUCAAGUAACUUCAGCGUUGCCUCCCACUUUUACUUGAGCACAAUUUUUUUUCAUGCAGCCUUUUGCUCUCUUUUUUUCAGCAAUUAAGGUUUCUGCCAUGUUAUUCUUGAAACCUUUGAGGAAUCAACAGAAUGUGCUGGUUGCUGGGAGUAAUAUGGAUCAAUGUUUUCAAAUCUUUAUGUUGAGUCUAGUCACUGGGGUACAACUAGAUGGCUAAUCGUGAUUAGGCAACGAUUAAAUUUGCGAUUAGCUCUAAGACCAGUCGAUCCACCCUUGCCUAUAGUAGAGAAUGAUAGAGUAUAACACAAAGGUGACGAACUGAUCUCUUAGUUUGAGCCCAACACAUAAUUGUUCUUUGUGGGUUCUUCAAUCUGAAAGUGCAUAAUAGCGUGCCAGCGUUGUGCUUUGUUUGCUUCACUAUUUUGAUUCUACAUGUCAAAUUAUUGAAAGGUUUUGUUCAGUUACCAACAACAUGGAUCCUUAGAAGUAGGUGGCACCCAGCGAAUCAGCAUCAUAUUGAAGAACCCCUAGGUCUUCUAAACAAACCGGCUGGAAUUGUGGAAAUCAAUUAAACUUAAUUAUAUCCAUAGUGCCUUCCUUGUAUAUCAUGUUUCAUUCUGCCAGUAGUAACCUCAGCAACUCGACGGUCUUCUGCCUGAGGUUAAUAUAGGCCCUUUUUGUAUCCGCUUAUUUCCUGCUUAUCAAUAGAAAUAAGCGAUAAGCCCACCCAAACGCCUAGCUUAUUUCCCGCUUACCUCCCAAGCCGCUUAGCCCACAAUCUGGAAAACAACUAGCGCCCCGCUUAUUCUCUACGCGGUCUUGGGGCCGCUUCUUGGGCAAGCGAAGCGCUUUUUCCUGAUACCCUCACCCGUCCGCUGGCUGCCGCCCUCCGACCGUCGCCGGCUCCGUCCGCCGCCCGCUUGCCUCCAUCGCUUCCCUGCACAAAUCCUGUCCAGAUCCCGUUGCCAUCGGUCACCAGCACUCCUGCCCAGAUCCCGUCGCCGCCGGUUCCGUUCGCUGCCCGCUGCCGGCCGACCCUACGCUUGGCCCCUGUGCUUGGCCUCCGGCCGGCCCUGCUGUUCUUUUUUGUGAAGGAGGUGGCGGAGUGCUGGCCGUCUACUGCUGAGUGUUGGCCGUGAGCAGCAUUUGAGCUCGUCGUGCGUGCUGCCGUUGUUGUUGAGAAGGAGCUAGAUAUGGGUGCAUUGCGUCAUGUUAUUGCUGUCGCUAUGGUUCGUGAUUCGUUGUUGUACUCAUGAUGGAUGUUUCCAUACUAGACCGUUCUAUCAUAUGAAUUUCAUAUUAUUGUAAUGAAAUUUCUAUUUAACAAACUCCAAAAUUAUUGGAAUUAUUAUCUUCUCCUCAGAUUCACAAUAAAAAUGAGCUAUAAAUUCGGAGUACAAGAUAAUUGGAGUCACGUACAACAAUAAGAAGCUAGCAUGCGUGUAUAUGGGCACGGAGUCCAAAUCGGCUUCAUUGGAUUGAUCGGCAAGGAGAGGCAAGGAUGAUAUAAAGGAAUGGCCAGCACGUAUGGAUAAAAAUGAUUAGAAUAUACAACAUGGAUUCUGGUGCACUUUGCAUGCCAUGCGUGGGAUGCUUCCAGAAUAAUUAUGCAUGCGGCCGAUCUGUGCAUGUACGGGAGGUUGUUUCAUAGAAUAAAAUAUUUUAGAGAUAGAGUUGGGUUAGUUAGAGAUAGAGUUUUUUAUUAGAAAAGAUUGUGUACGUGACUUGCCUUGUGCGUGGUUAGAUACCAAUUAUGUAACGUCCGCCCUAUAAAUAUAAAGGGACGUGGCCAUUGUAAAGAAUAAUCACACGAUCAAUAAACAAACAUAUUUACCUUUACCUUUCGGCUCCACGCCAUUGCCCUAGGAGUAGGAGUAAUGUAGUUUCUCGAUGAGUUCCUUCUAGCAAGUUGGGCUGCAUCGACCUCGAUCUCCGGCGAGCUGCAAGUUCUUGUCACCAGGUGUUCUAGGCUUUAACCACCGGGCGCAUCGCUGUGGUUUCGUCUAGUUUCAUCUACCAGUUAUCGAGUAUCUUGGAUCUUUGACUUAUGGCGCAUCGCUUCUGUCUCGAUCUACGGUAUUCGCCAGUUAUCCCGCCUUGAUUAAGCUUGCAUCGGCUGAUAUUUAUCUGUUCUAUCAUCUUGCCAUUUACGACAUAUUAAUUGUUAUUAAUUCUGUCGGAAUAGACGAUAGAUCUAUUUUUAAUAGCCUGUUGCAUCUUAAUCUUGGUUACCCCUUCGAGUGCUGUUGGGAUUAAGUUUCGUUAUGAUUGGAUUCAUCGGCUGGCGGGGUUCAGAUUAACAUCCUGCUAAAUAUUUCUAGACUGCAACUACCGGGCGCAUCGCUGUGGUUUCACCUGGACAUAUUAGCGGUGACGUUACUUUAGAUCUCAUCGGUUUGUGGCUCUAGCUAUGAUGGGACAACAACUCAACAUCAUCUCGUUUCCUAUCGGCCGUCUGGCUGAUGGUUAUUGUAAAUUAUAUUAAAUCGGCUGGAUGGCCGAUGAAUCACUUACAUUCAUCAAGGUACUGGAAUCGGCUUCACAGCUAAUAUAUUUAUCAUGAUUUCUUUUGUUGCACCAUUAUCGCUAUUGUGCCAGGAUUAUAUCGGCCUGAUCGGCCGGUUGCCUCAGACUUCACAAACGACUAUCAUCUCCUUGUCAGUUGAAUGGUCAAACUGACUGGCACGCUCGCGCACACCACGCGCGCCGAUUUGGAUUCUGCACUGGAGUUAAGCAGAUCUCCCAGGUCCUCAUGUGCUGAUGCAGGGUCCACUACCGUCGGGAUCUUGCGUCAACAAUCAGCCUCAGGGGCAUUCAGGUCAAUUUACCAGCCAGGACAGACAAUCGACACAAAAUAAUCAGGAUUGCCAAACACCCAGCUUAUUCAGACAGCGGAUUCUCCAGACAGCAGGCAGGCUUUUAAGAUAUGCCUGCUUGCCAGAUAAGCGAGUUCAGAAAAGCGUAUACAAACAGGACCAUAAAUGUUUCACAGCUUAUUCUGUUGCCUAACUGUUGCUUGUCACGUUGAUCCCAAAAUCGACCAUAAGCUAAGUUAUUUUUUCUUAAUGACGUCCGAGGCAUCUAAGAAUCUUUUAUAAUUCUUGUUAACCAUGGAUACUAUCAAAAUAACUUCAGCAAUGGGUGAAUCUAAGACUAUGAGAAGCCUAAAUUUCGAUUUGUACAGAUUAUCUCUGCUGAAAAAAAUUAUUGAAAUCAUCAGCAUGCGUUGUAGCUGACAAUUAUUGUUUCCUAUUUGUAUUGAUGAAGUUCUUGCUACUGUAUUGCAGGAAGAGAGAGAAUCAUCCAUAAGUCCUGUCACCAUAUCGGCUGGCCACCGUCGUCAUGUGUGUUGCUUCUUCAUUUUCCAGUUCUGUUGUGCUGGAUUCUACUGCCGACUUUGUUGAUUGGCUACUACAAUUCUGAGUUUAGUCCUCAGCUUUUGUGUGUUCCCUGCACUUGUGUACUAUAAAUAGACAGGAAAAACACCUUUACCAGGCUCAUCCGUUGAACUAUAUGAUAAUGCACUAUGGGAAACCUUAAAGUUGCUGAGUGUAAUUACUUCGCCGAGUGUAUUAUUGCGGGCACUCGGCGAAGGACCGGUUUGCCGAGUGCAAUACUCGAAACACUCGGCAAACAUAAUACACUCGGCGAAAACACUAUUUGCCGAGUGCCACCAAAAAAACACUCGGCAAACACCCACGGGGCACUCGGCAAAGAUGGAGCACUUGGCAAAGUGAUGAGCACGUGACUUCCCCGUGCCGCGACGGGCCGGCGCCGUGACGGACGUUAGGCUUUGCCGAGUGUCGACGGGGGGCACUCGGCAAAGCCACUAGUUUGCCGAGUGUCGUGAUGGAACACUCGGCAAACCUAUUACUUUGCCGAGUGUCGUCAUGGGACACUCGGCAAAGUGGCGAGUAUGCCGAGUGCUAGAGGGAACACUCGGCAUACUUUAGGGUUUGCCGAGUGUUUUUCGACACACUCGGCAAAAGUAAUUUUUUUCCCUCCUCCACCCUCCAAACUUUUUACACUCCACAUGUAUGGCAUUUGGCACUGCAUGGUAGAAGGUGGACUAUUUUUUAACCUGUUUGCUAUAUUUAAUCAAUUAAUUUUAUUUAGAGUAAUUUUUUUAUUUAAGUCAAAUUUGAACUGCAGGUGAUUGGAAUAAUGGAAUAAUAUGAGUGGAAAAAUAUAUUCAUGUUAGUGAGUCCAAAUUGAGGUCUCACCCAGAAAAUGAAAAGAAAUUUCGAACAUUUUGCUAAGGAAACACGACUACGAACGUGUGGCCAAAUGAUUGUUUAAUUCUCAAAAAUACAAACGAAGUUUGAAAAUCACGAGAUUUUGCAAGAUGCUAUCAUUUCAUAUGCAGAGGCUGUGGUAAAAAAUUAACAAGAUUUCGCACAAGUUUUGACAUAUGAUGUUUAGAAUUCGAAGCAUCUCCGGAGAGGAUUCGUAGAAGUUGGAAGGAUCCGGUAAGAUUUUGAGACGAAUCGAUACAUGUAUUUCUCAUUGAGUCCCAUUUUUUUUAUAGGCUAUAGAGAACAUAGAUUGGUUCAUGUCAAAUUUUGGGAAUUUUUCAGAUCCGUUUGGUAAUUUUUAUUCAUUAAUUGCACAAAUUUAAUAGAUAUAAAUUUAAUAUGAGCUAUAAAUCCAUGAAAUGAUGGAACAAUAUUACUUAAAAAAUGAAAUACGCAAUGUUUAGUGAAUUUGACAAGGUUUUUGCAAACUUUACAUACUUUUAAUUAAUAAAACAAGUUUGACAUGAAAUAAUAGUACCUAUUUGCCGAGUGUCAAGGGAUGGCACUCGGCAAAGAGCCUAUUUGCCGAGUGUCAACCCUGGGACACUCGGCAAAUGUCGCCGCGGUCCACCUGUCAGCCGCACUUUGAAAUCCGAAAAAAAAAAUUAAAAAAAAAAUUGUUUCCCGAGUGCUCCUGAUCUAGCACUCGGCAAAGGCUUUGCCGAGUGCUAGAUCAGGAGCACUCGGCAAAGCGAGUGGCCUAACCACUCUUAGCGCAUCACGCGCCUCACGUGGACAGGCACAGGCACAACACGAACACGCACACGCCCGCGCCCGCCCGGCCCCCCACGCCCGCUCCGCCCGCCUGCGCCCGCUCCGCCGCCGCCCAGCCUCCCGCGCCCGCUCCGCCGCCGCCCAGCCCCCCGCGCCCGCUCCGCCGCCCCGCACCGCCCGGCCGCGCCGCCGCCGCCGCCCCGCGCCGGGAUCCGGGUGCCGGCCGCCGGCCCCCCGGCCUCCCCCGCCCCGCCGCCGGCCGUCCGCGCACGGGCGCGCCCGCCCCCGGCCGCCCGCGCCGGCCCCCCGCGUCCGCUUCGGCCGGCCGCGGCCGCCCCCGUCCGGCCGCCGCACCGUCCCCCGGCCGCCCCUGCUCCUCUAUUCGUGGCCGUCGCCCCUCCGUCACCCCUCCGGUAAGUUUCUAUGCCACUACACAUCAUAAAUUAGAGUAGGCAUGAAAUUAGAAAUUAGAAAUUAAAUGUUGAAAAUACUAGAGAGGUGGUAGGAUGUGGUAGCAUUUAUUUUAGAAAUUAGAGGCAUGGAUUUAGAAAAUUCGAGAAGAAGGAAGAGUGGAAAUCAGAAAAUGUUGAAAAGAAUAGAGGUGUGGUUGGUUGUGGUUGUGGUUGUUGGCCAUCGUGCCAACUCUUUGGUGAGAUUGUGGUUGUCGGCUAUCGUGCCGUUUAUUAUGUUGCAGGUUUUGGAAACCUCCCCGUGCAGGGGAGUUGCUGCCGAAAUUUUGACUUAAACAGUGCUUUGUUUCUUUUGUUGCAGGAGAGGCUUACAAGGACCGUCCUCGACUCGUCACUUUGCAGGAUAGCAAGGUGAGGCAUGCUACACCUCUCUUUCCGUAUAAUGUUCGCAUAUCACGUAACCUAGUUAGGCGUCUCCCGUUCGAAAGAGAUACGGUUGCAAAUAUGCAGAUUUUUGCAUAUCUAUAAUCGUAUCUGUUUCGAAUUGUCCACGUUUUUUGGACAGCCCGAGGAUGUGUAGGUGGGUUUAGUAUCCAUGAUCUAUUUCGGUCCGAGAUAGAGUUUCGGCAGCACCUCCCUGUUGUUCUCCAGAUACACAAUCUCCUAUCAAGGACGUGUAUUUGGAGAAUAGCGGGGAGGUGCUGCUGAAAUUUUAUCUCGGGUCGGAGUAGACCAUGGAUACUAAACCCACCUACACAUCCUCGGGUGGGAUUAGGACCUAUCUUUACCUAGUAGACAAUAUAGGAACGUGUAUAUGCAAUGUGAAUUUUGUAUUACUCAUUUAAAUGGUAGAGGAUGGAGGAUCGUCAGUGGAUGUACACGGGUCGCACUAGUCAGAAUACGUUGACCAAUGAAUGGCUUGACAAGACGGAUGCUUUCUUGGAACGGGCGUUUGCAAGUGUCAAUGGAGCUCGAUCGACUUGGUGUCCGUGCAGCAAAUAUGGAAACAUGCGUCGGCAAACCAAGCUAAACAUGGGCAAACAUCUGGUGAAGAACGGAUUUACGUCAGACUACACCAGGUGGAUCUACCAUGGUGAAUCUGACCGUGGGAGAGAGGAGGUCUUGAGACAACGCAUCGAGGAAUUUGAUGAUGAUGCCGGGGUGGGAGACAUGUUAAAUGACUAUCAUGAAGCACACUUCGAAGAGGCACGUAGGGAGGAGGAGCCAGAGGCUACCGCUAAGGCUUAUUACGAAAUGUUUUCUGCGGCACAGCAACCCCUUCACGGCCAUACCAAGGUUUCUCAGCUAGAUGCCAUUGCACGCCUAAUGGCUGUGAAGUCUCAGUUUAGUUUGAGUCGAGACGCGUUUGAUAUUAUGUUGACAGUUUUUGGAAGCCUACUCCUGGUUGGUCACAUCUUGCCAAAGAGCAUGUAUGAGGCACAGAAACUCCUUCGUGCACUUAAGAUGCCAUACGAGCAUAUACAUGCUUGCUCGAAGGGAUGCAUCUUAUUUAGGAAAGAGUAUGCGGAAGCAAAAUACUGUGUGAAGUGCGAAUCGUCUAGGUUUCUGGAGGUUGACUGUGGUGACAGUCAGAAAAAGCAGCUCGCAAUUCCUGUGAAGGUUCUACGGUAUCUUCCUUUCAUACCGAGGAUCCAACGGCUUUUCAUGACUAAAGAAUCCGCGAAACAGAUGACAUGGCACAAAAAUGGCCGUCGCUAUAAUCCUGAGAAGCUGGUACACCCAUCCGAUGGUGAAGCCUGGAGAAGCUUUGAUGCGAUUUAUCCUGCAAAAGCUCUAGAGGCCCGUAACGUACGCGUUGCGUUGGCAACUGAUGGGUUCAAUCCUUAUGGAAUGGCGGCCGCCCCGUACACCUGUUGACCCAUUUUCGUUAUCCCCCUGAAUCUCCCACCCGGCGUCCUAUUUCAAUGACAUAAUAUAUUCUUGUCGUUGAUAAUUCCAGAGCAUCCGGGGAAUAAUAUGAGUGUGUAUAUGGAGCCUCUGAUUGAUGAUUUGCUCCGUGCUUGGGAGGAAGGGGUAUGGACCUAUGACCGAUCCACAAAGACAAACUUCAAGAUGCAUGUUUGGUACCAGUACUCACUGCAUGACUUGCCGGCAUAUGGGAUUUUCUCCGGAUGGUGUGUUCACGGGAAGUUCCCAUGCCCAGUAUGUAAAGCAUCUUUGAAGUUCAUUUGGUUGUCGAAAGGUGGCAAAUAUUUUUCGUUCGACAAACAUCGACAAUUCCUCCCUCCUGACCAUCCAUUUAGAUGAGACAUCAAAAACUUUACCAAAGAUGUUGUAGUUACAGCCCCCGCACCGCCGAUGAUGACAGGGGCCGCAGUUCGUGCUCAGUUAGACGCUCUUGAGGUCAAUAAUGAAGAAGGUGGUUUUUUGGGAUAUGGCGAGCAACAUGCUUGGACGCAGAAGUCGUGCUUGUGGAAGCUUCCCUAUUUUGAUGAUCUCCUUGUUCCACAUAACAUUGAUGUAAUGCACACGGAAAAAAAUAUCGUCGAGGUAAUUUUUGGUACAAUAAUGGACAUUCCUGACAAGACAAAGGAUAACGUUAAGGCUAGAGUGGAUCAAGCGACAUUGUGCAACAGACCACAGCUAAACAUGGCGCCUCCAAGAGCUGGCAAGUCGUGGAGGAAGCCUAAGGCCGAUUUCGUUCUAACGAGGGCCCAAAGGAGGGAGGUUCUAGAAUGGUUCCAAACAUUAAUGUCCCUGAUGGCUAUGCAGCGAACUUGAAGAGGGGAGUGAAUUUAGCAACUAUACGAAUCAACGGGCUCAAGAGUCAUGAUUACCAUAUAUGGCUUGAGCGCCUACUUCCGGUGAUGGUUCGAGGCUAUGUCCCUGAGCAUGUGUGGCAGGUGCUAGCGGAGUUGAGCAAUUUCUUCCGCCGACUUUGUGCGAAGGAGUUAUCUCAUACCGUGGUUGCAGAAAUGGAAACAAUGGCGCCUGUGUUGCUCUCUAAGUUGGAGAAGAUCUUUCCUCCAGGCUUCUUCAAUCCAAUGCAGCAUAUGAUUCUACACCUCCCGUAUGAAGCACGAAUGGGGGGCCUGUGCAGGGUCGUUGGUGCUACUCAAUUGAGAGAUGUCAAAAGGUUCUUCGAACUAAAUGUAAGAAUAAGUGCAGAAUUGAAGCAUCCAUUGCAGAGGCAUACAUUCUGGAGGAGGUGUCAAACUUCACAUCGAAAUACUACGCUGACAACCUUCCUAGCGUGCAUAAUCCACCUCCUCGUUACAAUGCCAGCGAAGAUGAAUUAAGCUUUAGCAUUUUUCGAGGGCAACUCAGAAGUGCAAGUGGUGCGACCCGCAAGACCCUUAACCAUGAAGAGUGGCGCUCUAUCAUGCUGUAUGUGUUGACCAACCUAUAUGAAGUGGAGCCGUACAUGAUGUAAGUCAUCGACAAACUUGUUUCGAUGUAGUCAUGGUAUCUCUUGCCUAAACGUAUCUUUCUCGUUGCUAUAGGCAAUUUCAUCGUCAAUUCUGGCGUAAAUCAAGGCAACCGUACUCGCAUGAAGCUGAGACUCUUCUUAAAGAGGGUGCGGGAAAUGGAAUGCCCGAUUUCAUUUCUUGGUUCAAACAGAAGGUACAAUUUCAUUUCUUUGAACAUUCUCGUUCUCGUACAUACGAUUAAUAUAACAAACCGCCCUGUUUGAACUUGCAGGGCCGAACCGAUGCGUCUAUGAAUGUCGAGUUGAGACAGGUUGCCGGUGGCUGUGACUAUAGGGUCAGGUCGUUUGCCGGUUAUGACGUCAACGGAUAUAGGUUUCACACAACAAGGCACGAGCAGAGUCGGCCCAAUCGAAGAACCACAAAUACCGGAGUUUUCACGCCAGGCUCCGAUGGGGUCGAGUACUACGGAAGAAUUGAAGAAAUAUACAAACUCACUUUUCAUGGGUGCAAACCUCUUAAUCCAGUUAUAUUCAAAUGCCAUUGGUUUGAUCCAUCUGUCGUGAGACGGGCCCCUAACCUUGGGCUAGUCGAAAUUCGACAGUCAUCCAGGUUACCAGGAGACGAUGUCUAUAUUGUGGCUCAACAAGCCACGCAAGUUUAUUAUUUGUCAUACCCGUGCCAAACCGACAGCCGUCUUAAGGGUUGGGAUGUUGUGUACAAGGUAUCGCCACACGGUAAACUACCUGUACCAAACAAUGAAGAUUACAAUAUAGACCCCGACACGUACGAAGGAGAGUUAUUCCAAGAAGAUGGGCUCGAAGGGAGUUUUGUGAUAGAUUUAACCGAAGCGAUCGGAAUGGAAGUAGACAAUGAGAGGGUUGCUGCAGAGGACGGUGGAGACGAGGUUCAGAAUGUGAAGGACUUAGAAUUACUUCAAUGAUUACAGUUAGCUAAUGACAGUGAUGACGACAUUCCUUCUUCGGAGCACGAGCUUGACUAUAUCGACACGCGUGAUAGUGAUGAUGAGACUUAUGAUCCAGCUAAUCCCGAUCAUGAUGAUUAUUUCUAAUAUAUGUAUGAUUCGUACUAAUUUAGUUAUAAUUUAAUUAUAAUUUGCAUAUCUUUGUAAUUAUGUUUUGUUUACCUAUGCUGACUCGUGUACUCUUUUUAAUUGUAGGUCAUUAAGCAAUGGUGGGCGGUAUGAGGAAGCUCACGUCAAUUUGCGAGAGACUGGCCACGGCAGGGACUGGUUCAGGGUCAGGGUCACGUUCAGGGAGCGGUCGAGGGAGGCGUUAAGGCAGGCCUCGACGUAGGGUUGAGGAGGAGGAGGAGGAGGAGGUGGUGGUGGUCCAGAGGCCUCGAGGGAAGGGUAAAGCGGCGAGGCCCCCGUCGCCUGAACCUGAGGUGGAGGAGGAGGAGGAGGAGGAGGAGGAGGUACCUUCCGCACACGCCUCUGCGGACGAGGAGGCGGAGGAGGAGGAGCAGCAGGAGCAGGAGGGGGACGGGGAGGCAGGGGAUGCCCAGUCCAAGAUAUGGUUGCGAGGUCCCUCAUCCCUUCCGAAGCGGCCGAUACCUGAGCAUUUACGCCCGCUGAUUAAACCGGUUGGGACCAAGUAAGUAACUUUAAAUAUUCUUAAUAUUGUUAUUAUGUUGAAAGUUACAAAAACUAAUAAUUCAUAUUAAUGACUUGUGCAGGAGUUGGAUUAAGCUCAGUGGGGGUGACCACAACCGUAAGGCCAACGAGAUCCUUGGCCUUUUGUGCAGGGUUCACUUCCCUGGCUUGGUGGUGUACGCCGGACAGCUGCAGCCGGCCUACACGUGGGACCACUACGUCGCCGCCCCCGACGUCCCUGAUCGUCAACAGAGAAGAUUCCCCAACAAAGCGGAGCGGGUCAAGGCCGAGCUGUGGGUAAGUACUCCUCGUACUAAAUUGCUCAAUACAUCACCUACUUUCGACAUUCUUGAAAUAAUAACUGUAUACGCAUGUAUAUGCAGGACUUCUAUAGAUGCCCGGAGGGGUUCGAGGCCAAGGCGAAGGCCGUCUGUGAUGUAGCCGCCAAGAAGCUCGUGAAGGACAUGCAUUACGAGGCGCGCAUCCAGGCCAUCAUCGAAUUCCACGCUCAAUACAGACAGAUGAAGGUUAGAAAAGAGGAGGCAAGAACAAUGAACAUGACUAAGGACCAAUUCAUGAGGGUAAGUAAAGAACGUUGAUGUUUACUAUUUAUGAUUAAUUAGGCUCAUUUUCUUGUUCAUAUGUCACACGCUUGAUGAUGUAGGUGCCUCCGUGGUGGUGUCGUGCGCAUAUGCCGUGCUGGGAGAGGAUGGUCGACGUGUGGUUGGAGCCCGGGUGGUUGGAGAACCACCUUGCUUGCUGGCAGCGGCGUUUGCAGAUGCCGACUGCACCACACCAUCAAGGCAGCCUAAGCCUUGAUGAAUAUAGAGAAAAAUGGGUACGCAACUUCAAUUCUUUAUUGUAACGUUCAGUUCUACGUAAUUUUUAAUGAUUUUGUAUUUUGCCGCAGUCGGCGUCACAUGAUGGCCGACCAUGCUCCCAGCUCAAGGCAUGGGUCCUCUCCAAAAAGGGCAAGGCGACGGUCGAUAUAGAUUUCAACCCAGACGACCCGUCCGAGGCGUACAGCCACCCUAGCAUACACAACCGCAUCAGCGAGUAUACAAAGAUGGCUAGGGAGGUUCACGGGCCAGACUUCGAUCCGAGCUCCGAGGACAUUGAUGGAGAAAUCGUGAUGAGGGUGGGAGGAGGCAAGAAGCAUGGCCGAUAUUGGAUUGGCGACGGCGUCAUCGACACGGCCUCUACUCCCACUCUCUCCCAGAUCCGAGCUAGGAGCACGGACUCGAGCCUGGCGAUACGGCCAUGACCCACCGCUGCACAGUUCCAGAUGGAGGCUCUACAGGUUCUUUCUCUUCCAUUCAUCGUUCAUUUGUUGUUAUACUUUAGCUUUGCAUUAUAACAUUGCAAUGAAAAAUUGUAGGCCCAGGUGGAAGAAUCAAGGAAGAAACAAGAGGAGAUGGCGGCGCAGAUGGAGGCGCAGAUGGAGGAAAUGCGGCGGAGGAUGGAGGAGGAAAACCGGAUUAGGAUGGAGCAGAUGUUCCAGUACAUGCAGAACUUUGCUUCAAGCAUGGGACAGUCUUUGCCUCCGCCACCGCCGAUGAUGUUCCCUCCGCCUCAGCCACCCACGACUACUCCUGUGAGUCACUUGACACAUUGUGCUUAAGAUUUAAUACUUUAAAUUUGACAACUUUAGAUGUUAGCUCAGAAUAUCCUAUCCUAUGUGCAUAAUCAAUCGGCGGCUUCGAAUAAUGAAGAUCAAGAUUUGUCGCAGUGGUCUCCUUGGCCUCCACGGAAGUAGACUUGGUUGUGAACAAUGUGGAAACUAAAUUGUGACAAGAACUUGGAUUUAUGGAUUAUUUCGUGCUGAUGUUGAAUUAUGCCUGUGGUGUUUAUGAAUUAUGCCUGUGGUUGUGAAUUAUGCAUGUGAUUGUUUAUUACAAAUGCCUGUGAUAUGUGUAUUGUGAAUUGAGAGGGGUCCGUUAUACGUGACAAAAUGUUGAAAAAGGGGGGGUUCUGGUCACUUUGCCGAGUGUAACACUCGGCAAAGAGGGGCCUUUGCCGAGUGUUUUGGCUUUAACACUCGGCAAAGAGGCAUUUCCCAGGUGUAGGAAAGCUUGUUUGCCGAGUGCUAGGGACAAGGCACUCGACAAACAAGGGGUCUUUGCCGAGUGCCAGGCGCGAGGCACUCGGCAAAGGCCCUAAUUCCCAGCUACCUGGGCAGGGUUGUUUGCCGAGUGCCCACCCUAACACUCGGCAAAGGGCCCGUCUUUGCCGAGUUCCCGGGACACGGCACUCGGCAAAAAAGCCGGCUUUGCCGAGUGCCCACUCCGUGACACUCGGCAAAGACCCGGUGUUUGCCGAGUGCCUCCCGUCUGGCACUCGGCAAACCCGCCGUUAACCCCGACGCCGUCAGCGCGUAUUUCACCGAGUACAUCUUUUCGCCGAGUGUUUUUUGGCCGUCGGCAAAAUGUUUGCCGAGUGCUCGCGUUUUGACACUCGGCAAACUAGUCUUUGCCGACACAAAAUUUGCCGUGUGCUCUUUGCCGAGUGUUACACUCGGCAAAGCCUUUGCCGAGUGUUUUUGGGCUUUCGCCGAGUGCCUCUGGCACUCGGCAAAGCUUCUGUUUCCCGUAGUGAUGCUAGAUGAUGUGUCCAUGCCUUGCUAACGUCUUCUACAUGCCAUGCGAGUUAAAAAUCCUGCAAUCAUGUUUCGUGGUAGCAGUUUACCUUUGCACAAUGAAACUCCUCACUAAAAACACAGGUCAAUUUGAGGGACUAUUGUGUUAUUUUUACAGGGAUCUAAUGCCAUCAAUCAAAUUGUAAAAUACAGACAGGUGCGCGUGGAAUGGACACUUGUGUUCAUUCAGAUUUUUGUGAUAUUUCAUACCUAAUGAUUACCAGGUUGUCACGCCCCUACAUGCAAAAUUGGUCUACGAGAUGGGAUAUGAGCUCAAAAUGACGUGAGAGCUGUAUUAUCAUGUAGCUCAUGACCUGGCAGAAGUGAAUAGUUGCACGAAAUACAACAUUGCAAACAAGAUUUUAUUCAUUCUCUCUGCCGAUGGCACACGGUAGCAGAAGCAGUGCCACCAAUUGGUGAAAGAUUUUCAGUAAACUGAGUGUUUGACAGAACAAUAUGAUGCCACCAAAGCAAUCUGCAUGAGUUCUCUACCUCCGGAAGUCCAGAUGCUUGCUCUGUUUCAUUGCUGUAGCUCAUGGCAACUCUGGCAGCACCAUGGUCAUUUGCUGCACCAUUUUUCAGAAUAUGUAAAAUUCAAGUCAUACCAUGCAGUUGAUGGAGAUAAAGAUAUGCUCCAAAUGAAAUGAUUAAAAAAACAAUCAUAUUUAUUCUCCAGGCACCAAUGGAACUCAUUCCCGAUGUCACUUGUCUCUGCCUGUGCCUACAUCGAGGAAGUAGCAUGCGAAUGAGAAAGACGAAGAUAAGUACCAAGAGGUAAAUGUAUUCACUUGUCUCUGCAUGUGCCUACAUCGAGGAAGUAGCAUGCGAAUGAGAAAGACGAAGAUAAGUACCAAGAGGUAAAUACAUUCUUGAGAUAAAUAGAUAAAUAAAACCAAGGACCAGCCCGUGAAAAUAAGUACUCCGUUUAAGAUACUAUAUGCACAAUAAUCUUUACUCGUACAUAUUUUCUGUACAGCCAUGUACAAAGUUCAGCUCACUGUCAAGAGGUACACCAUACGACUGCAAGCUCAAAGAAUAGAAGAUUAUUACACACCACCCAAACUCUACCUUUUGUACAUCAGGUGCUCGAGAAACAUACAUUGGACGAGUAGAAUAAAAGUUAUAAAUCAUAUCAACAAUCCCAGUUAAAUACGGUGUUUCCGAAACAACCAACCGUUCUUGGGCGUAAUCUUCCUGACACUAUCCUGGAGAAACUGGAGCGUGCCUGGAGACAUGUGAGCCCUGUCCAUUGUGUUAACCUUCGCCGCCUUUCGAGGGGACAAGGCACACUGCAUUGCCCAGAUUGCAAGGGGGCGCAUGUAUAUCAAUGACCUAUAGUGGCCAUCCACUGUCCAUGCUUCUGGAGUUUGAAACCAGUACCUGAAUUUGUCAAGGAAAUUGAUUAUUAAUUAUUAGCAUAAAUUGGUCCAAUAAUGUGACUCCAUUUCUGUUACGAAACAAAUCGAUGAAUGCGCUGAAUCCAAGAUAGUGCGAUCAUAAAAGAACUAUAUCCAUUGCCAGUAACAAUAAAUAAUCUUAGCAGUCUUAAGCAGCAUUAACUUCGCAUACUGCAGGAAAAUGUACAGUAAUAUCUAAACCCUUUAUGACUUUAUCUCAUACUAUUACUUAACCAUUGUCAUCUCAAAGGACGAACUAGUAUAUGAGAACUACUCACAUUAUGAGAACUACUCACAUUACUAUGCAUAUCAUGUACUGGGAAAAUGAUGCUAGGACUGCCAGUGGCGGGCGCAGGAUUUGGACUAUGGGUAUUCAAAAUUGAAGAUGGCAAGAAAAAAAAAUGACAGACUAAAUUAUAGUUUUAUAACACAUAAUAAUUAAGUGGUAGCAGCAUCAUUGAUUAAUAAAAAUUAUCAGAAAUUGAAAUUGUCCAGCUACUAAUGAUCAACAUAUCAAAGUGGCAACAUGUGAAAUAAAUAGAGGCUAAAACAAUAAAAUGGUAACAAAGAUUACAACUUACAAGCUAUAGGACAACUUUCCGUUCUGCAAUGCUUUGAAAAUGAGCGAUGAUGUCUUUAUCUUUAGCUUGCAUGAAGAAUUCCCUUUCAAUCAAUGUGACCAAGCAACCAUUCAAAUAUUUCUGCCCCAUCUUACUCAAAUCAGUAGCGGCACUACCCUUCCUCUUCAUGGUUCAAACCUAAAAGUUACACAAUUUCAACUUAUCAGAUAUUUACAAUUUCACAUUGAACUAAAUUCGUGAGCAUCCACAUUUUGCAAGUUGAUGUGCUAUUCCAAUCUGACAAACAAUUGAAAAUGAUUACCUCAAUUUCACCAACAAUCAGCAGUUUGGGGGCAGACCGAUAGUACUGUCGCGGUGUCGCCGCGUGCUCGUCGUGUCGCCCAGUAGGUCGCCGCGUGCUCUCCGGGUUGAACGGCGGCGCCGCCGCCUGCUCGUCGGCCCGCCGCGGAGCCGCUGCCUGCUCGCCGGCCGCCGGCCCGCCGCGGAGCCGCCGGCCCGGCCGGCCGGCCGCCGCUCUGGGGUCCCUGCCUCACUGCCUGCGUGCGCCGUGCGCCGUGCGGGCUGCAGGCGCCACCUGCGCGCCAGGCGCCGAGCAGGCCGGCGCCGCCAAGGCGCACCGCGCACCGCGCUGGGCGCUGGCCGCCCGCGGCCCGCCUGGCGCCUGCCGCCGACCAGGCAGGCAGGCACGCGCCUCCGCCGGUCCACCCCCCAGCCACCUCCGGCUCGCCACUCGCCGGCCGCCGUGGAUCCGCCUGCCGCCGGCCCGCCGCUCCGGCUCCGUGCGCCUCUGCUCGCCGCUCGGCGCCAACACGCGCCGGCCGCACUGCCGCAGGCCGCCCGCCGGCCGCCGCCCUCCUAGCGGCUAGCCCGCCAGCGCCAGCCGCGGCCUACCACCGUCCGCCGGGCGCCGCCACCGCCGGUCCGCCGCCGCCGCCGCCGCCGCCGCCGCCGCUACUCGCUAGGGCCUAGGGUUUGCGCGCCUGGAGACUCCUGGAGCCGUGCGCGUGAAUGUGCUUCGGUGGGGGUGGGCUGGUGGCCGGUGGGGGACUGGGGGCGUGGGCAGGCCGGAUGGGCCGGAUGGGCCAGUUGGGCCAGUUGAGGGAGAGCGAAGUUGGCCUCCGGUGGGCCUUUUCGAGUGAAAUGUGUAUGCUAGCUUUUGUAUUUUUGUUUUUUUCAUACAUACACCUAAAAUACACUAUAUAUAUGAAAUUUUUUUGCAAAAAUAAUGGGUAUUCAAUUGAAUACCCUUGAAUCAAAGUGGGCCCGCCCCUGCCUCUCAGCAUAGUCAUCAUGUCCAAGGCUGCGGGCCAGUGCGGCUGCAGCUUGCAGUGCAGUUCGAAGGCAAAGGCAACCAGUACGCACUUACUCCUUGAACUAUCCAAGCAUCAUAAGUUUGAUAAGGAAAUCCAUAAUUUUCAAUCAUACCAUUGUUGCGAUACGAGGUAGGCUACACUAGCGUAAAUCAAAAUUUCUACCGCGUAUAACCAGGAAGAACUGCCGUAUAAGGAUCACGGGAUUACCACUCGACGCACUACUGGUGCGGAAGAUGUAGAUAUGCGUCGAUGCAGUGAAGACGAUCACGUAGUUGUACGUAGUCGAUCAAUGUAGUCGUACGUAGUCGAUCACGUCCAGCAGCUCCUCAGCAGCUCGUCCACGUGCACAGCAAGAUCGCCUCCGGUACCGCGGCUCGUCGUCGGCUCGUCAUGGCACGUCGGCGGCUCGUCGGCGGCUCGUCCAAGUGCUGCAGGCGCAACACCUCCAAGGUAUCCACACGUGCAGGGAGGAAGCGUCGCAAGCCGGAUUGCUAGAUCCGCGUGUUGCAGCAGGCGAGGGCGUGGGAGGCGCGGCAGGUGUGUUUCGCCAAAAGGUGUAAACCCUAGGGCACCCCCACCCCUCUAUUUAUAGAGGUUCCUGAUGGGCCUCUGGAUCCGAGGCCCAUUAGUACUCCUAAACCUAAUCCAACUCGGAUCAGAUCCGAAUUGGGCUUCCAGCCCCUUAAGUGUGUGACCCUAUGGGUUCGAAUUCGUAUAGACAUGGCCCGAGUACUCCUACUCGGCCCAAUAGUCGGUAGCGGCCUCUAGCAAGACGUGCCAACUCCUAUACGCAUACGAAGAUCAUAUCAGACGAACCAUCACAACAUAAUAUACAUGCUAUUCCCUUUGCCUCACGAUAUUUGGUCUAGCUUCAAGCCGACCGCUCUUUCUCGAUCCUGUGAUUCGGAAUCCCUUUGUAGGUUAACUCUUAACCGUACGUAGCAUGGCCAUGCAUUUUUCGGAUCCGGUCACUCGAGGGGCCCAGAGAUAUCACUCUCAAUCAGAGAGGGGCAAAUCCCUUCUUGAUUUGACCAUGUCUCAUAGCAUGCUUCUUGACAAACCCGAAAGCUACCUUUAUAACUACCCUGUUACGGCGUAGCGUUUGAUAGCCCCUAAGUAGGUCGAUCCACAUCUAGAAUACAUGCGACAAUCUCAGGUCUAAGGACAAAGCGUAUAUGUUGUUUAAAGAGAGAACUACUUCUCGUGUUGGGUCAGUCCUAACACAUGUCUCCACAUGUGUCCACAUUAUUAGUUCAACAUCUCCAUGUCCAUGACUUGUGAAACAUAGUCAUCAACUAAUACAUGUGCUAGUCUAAUAUUCAUGUGUGUCAUCACAUGAACUCCGACUAGGGACAACUUUAGAAUAACCAUACAAGUAAAGAGUUUCACAUACAAUUCACAUAAUUGCAAAUCAAUUCAAGUAGCCUUUAAUGGAUAUUCAAUGAACACAAUAUACAAAUCAUGGAUACAAAUGGAAUAUCAUCAUCUCUAUGAUUGCCUCUAGGGCAUACCUCCAACAGUCUCCCACUUGCACUAGAGUCAAUCUAGAAGGUACCUAAUACCCAUAGCUCUUACAUGCGCAUCAUGCUUAGCCUGCGGGAGUGGUUUUGUCAACGGAUCAGAAAUGUUCAGAUCCGUGUGUAUUUUGCAUAUCUUGAUCUCACCCCGGUUAACGAAGUCUCGAAUGAGAUGAAAUCGCCGCAUUACGUGUUUGUUCUUCUGGUGGUUCCUUGGCUCCUUUGCUUGCACAAUAGCCCCAUUGUUAUCACAGUAGAGAUUCAAUGGGUUGGACGCAUUCGGGAACACACCAAGCUCAAUGAGGAAAUUCCUUAUCCAAACACCUUCCUUCGCGGCUUCCGAAGCUGCGAUGUACUCGGCUUCUGUCGUAGAAUCGGCCACCGUCUCCUGCUUGGAACUCUUCCAACUAACAGCACCACCAUUUAGCGUGAACACAAAUCCUGAUUGUGACUUUGAAUCAUCUCUGUCGGUUUGGAAACUAGCAUCGGUGUAACCUGUUACAACGAGCUCUUCCUGACCUCCAUAGACGAGGAACAUAUCUUUAGUCCUUCUCAAGUACUUAAGAAUGUUUUUCACUGCUGUCCAGUGACUCUCACCUGGAUCAGAUUGGUGUCUGCUUGUCAUACUUAGCGCAUAUGAAACAUCUGGGCGAGUACUUAUCAUUGCAUACAUGAUAGAUCCAAUAGCCGAGGCAUAUGGCACUCUACUCAUGCGAUCCCGCUCAUCAGCAGUCGAAGGACACUGAGUCUUGCUGAGAUGUAUGCCAUGUGACAUAGGCAAGAACCCUUUCUUUGCCUCUUCCAUGCUGAACCGCUUCAACACUUUGUCAAUAUAAGUAUCUUGGCUCAGACCUAUAAGCCUUCUCAAUCUAUCUCUAUAGAUCUUAAUGCCCAGAAUAUAUGCCGCUUCCCCUAAGUCCUUCAUCGAAAAACUAUUUUUCAGUGAAGUCUUUACGGACUCAAGCAUAGGAAUGUUAUUUCCAAUCAGUAAUAUGUCAUCCACAUAUAAGAUUAGAAAUACUACAGAGCUCCCACUAACCUUCUUGUAAACACAAGACUCUUCUUCGUUCUUGGUGAAGUCAAACCCUUUGACCACUUCAUCAAAACGAAUGUUCCAACUCCUAGAUGCUUGCUUCAAUCCAUAAAUGGAUCUCUGAAGCUUGCAUACCUUUCCAGCAUUUUUCGGAUCGACAAAACCCUCGGGCUGUAUCAUAUACACGUCCUCAGCUAGGUUUCCAUUCAGGAAAGUUGUCUUGACAUCCAUCUGCCAUAUCUCAUAAUCGAAAUAUGCAGCUAUAGCUAGAAUAAUCCGAAUGGACUUAAGCAUCACUACGGGCGAGAAGGUCUCGUCGUAGUCAACUCCUUGAACUUGUCGAAAACCUUUUGCGAUAAGUCGUGCUUUAUAGAUGUGAACAUUUCCAUCCAUGUCCUUUUUCUUCUUAUAGAUUCACUUGCACUCUAUGGCUUUAACACCAUCAGGCGGGUCAACCAAGUUCCAAACUUGAUUGUCUCCCAUGGACUCUAUUUCGGAUUGCAUGGCACUCUGCCAUUUUUCGGAGUCUGGGUCCAUCAUUGCUUCUGCAUAUGUCGCAGGCUCAUCAUUGUCUAACAAUAAUAUUUCUCGCAUUUCGCGGAGCCUUGCUGACCUUCGUGGUUGUGGCGGUGCUUCUCUUGCCAUGGGUAUCUCAACUUGUUCUGCUACUUUAGCAUCACUCAUUGAUUCUUGCCCGAUCGGCUCAUCUUGAACUUCUUCAAGAUGCACUGUCUUUCCACUCUUUUCUCCUUUGAAAAACUCUUUCUCUAGGAAAACCCCGUUCCGAGCGACAAACACUUUGCCUUCUGAUCGGUUGUAGAAAUAAUAUCCCAAAGUUUCCUUUGGAUAUCCCACGAAAAUGCACUUAUCCGACUUGGGUGUGAUCUUGUUCGACUGAAGUCGCUUGACAAACACUUCACAUCUCCAAAUCUUUAGAAAAGACAAACUAGGAACCUUUCCAGUCCAUAUCUCAUAUGGUGUCUUAACUACGGAUUUAGAUGGUACCCUAUUUAGUGUGAAAGCUGCUGUUUCUAGAGCGUAUCUCCAAAAUGACAACGGUAGGUCUGACUGGCUCAUCAUUGAUCAAACCAUGUCUAACAAAGUUCGAUUACGUCGCUCGGACACACCGUUUCUCUGAGGUGUUCCAGGCGGCGUCAGUUGUGGAACAAUUCCACAACUCUUUAGAUGAUUGCUAAACUCGUGGCUCAAAUACUCGCCUCCACGAUCAGAUCGUAAGGCCUUAAUUUUCUUGCCACGCUGAUUUUCAACUUCAUUCUGAAAUUCCUUGAACUUUUCAAAGGUCUCAGACUUGUGCCUCAUCAAGUAGACAUAGCCAUAUCUACUAAAAUCAUCAGUGAAAGUUAUGAAGUAUUGGAAUCCUCCUCUAGCCGUCGUGCUCAUUGGUCCGCAUACAUCACUAUGUACGAGUUCCAACAAGUCUACUGCUCUCUCAGGAAAUCCUGUGAAAGGCGUCUUGGUCAUCUUGCCUAGCAAGCAAGCCUCACAUGUCUCGUAUGAUUCAAAAUCAAACGAAGUUAGAAGUCCAUCAGAAUGGAGCUUCUUCAUGCGCUUUUCACUUAUAUGACCCAAACGACAAUGCCAUAAGUAGGUAGGACUCAAAUCAUUAGGCCGAGGCCUUUUAGCACUUACAUUACAGACAGGUGAACCAUCAAGAUUUAAAACAAACAAUCCAUUCACAAUGGGUGCAAAAGCCAUAAACACAUUAUUCUUAGAGAUCACACAGCCAUUGUUUUCACUCGCAAAUGAAUAACCAUCCUCCAUCAAGCAUGAAGGAGAUAAAAUAUUUCGACUUAAACUAGGAACAAAAUAACAAUUAUUCAACUCCAUAAUAAAUCCUGACGGGAGGUGGAGUUGCAUCGUCCCGACGGUCAAAGCAGCAACUCUUACAUUAUUGCCCACGCGGAAAUUAACUUCUCCUCUUUCCACGCUUCUACUUCUUAUCAUUCCCUGCAUCGAAUUGCAAAAAUGAGCAACCGAUCCGGUAUCAAAUACCCAAGAAUUAAUAAUUGUAUCAGCGAGAAAUAUGUUGUCUAUAACAUUAACAACAAGCGUACCUGAGGUAGAAGUACUCUUACUUCCACCGUUCUUCAAGGAAGCUAGGUACUGCUUGCAGUUUCUCUUCCAGUGACCAAGUUCAUGACAGUAAAAGCACUCUUUGUCUGGAGCAGGUUCAGGUCCAGCUUUAACCUUGGGCGGUGGGUUUGGCUUGGACGUUCCAGCCUUGCCCUUCUUCUUCCAAGAAUUGCCCUUCUUCUUAAAGCUGGGCUUGUUCUGUAUCGCCAUCACAUGGCUGGUACUAGCGCUUUUCUUGAUGUCAGCCUCUGCUGUCUUGAGCAUACCACACAGUUCAUUCAAACCCUUCUCCGUUCCAUGCAUAUGGUAGUUCGAGAUGAAGUUCCCAUAGUUAGGUGGAAGAGAUGAAAGAAUGAAAUCAGUGGCCAACUCUUGGCCCAGUGGGAAGCCUAGCUUCUCCAACCGUUGAGUGUAACCAACCAUCUUGAUUACGUGUGGUCCUACUGCUGCGCCUUCUGCUAGCUUGCUCUCAACAAAGGCCUUAGACACAUUGAACCUUUCAGUCCUGGCCUGUGUUUGGAACAUGUCUCUAAGCGCCACGAUCAUAUCGUGCGCCUCAUGGUUUGUUUCGAACUGCAUCUGCAGCUCGGGUUCCAUGCAAGCAAGCAUAAGGCAGCUUACUUCAAGGUUAGCAUCACAUGCCUUCUUGUAAGCAUUCUUAGCAGCAGCGGGUGCAUCAUCAGCAGGUUCUUCUGGUAGUGGGUUGUCUAGAACAUCUUCCUUUUUCUCAGCCCUGAGAACAAUUCUCAGGUUGCGGAUCCAAUCCGAGUAAUUUGUUCCAUUCAACUUGUCCUUCUCAAGGACCGAACGCAAAGCAAACGGUGUAGUGCUGCUAGAUGCCAUUUAAUCUACAACAAAGUAAUGCAAAAUACACUAAGACAAACGUAUCCAUGAUAGAGCAAAUUACAUUAAACUAUUUUAACAGAAUCUACUCCCACUAAAAUCAAUAUCCCUCUAUUGAAACUUAGUGAUUCAGGAUCCACAACUAACAAGUCCACUAGUGAGCUUUAGCAUCACCGCUAGCAAACGAGGUAGAUCGGUAAGCAACUUUUGCUAAUCAUAUCACAUAUGACUCCUGUUGUUGGGUGACAUCUCUAUGUCUCGGCGCCCAACCUUUAUGCCCCAAGGUCCUUAACCGUUAAGAUGACCUUGUUAAGCAAACCAACCCUUAUGCGUGUAAGUGUCCGACACAAACCCGUCUAGUCAAGGAAAACUAGUGGCACCCUAAUUUCAUAGACCCACCACUAAUUGUACAAGACAUGGGACGGUGCAAGUUUUAGUUGGGAGGGUGUUGGCGCUAGAAAUCGGUCAACCGAAUCCCAGCGACCGACACACGACCCGGGAGAAUCUGCUUAGCUCCUGUUCGGGUAAAUGCCCUGGUGUGGUUCGCGCGGCGUGCCAGCCAAUCUGACCUGUUGAUUGGCAAGGAAGAACACGUGUCAAAUUCAGAAACUACGAUCGGCUAAGUUUCCGAUCGAGAGAAGCUUAAUCGGCAAAUCGGCCGAUUUACUGUGAUAAUGAAAUCGGCUAUAAGACAGCACGAUCCCUGUAGCCUUGUAGACAGAAAAAUACUAAAGUAAUCGGUACAAAGCUUGUGAUAACAGCACUAGGAAAAGAUCUAAUCGGCAACGAAUGGAUCUAACGACAGAAGGUGAUGAAAGCCGAUACUACCGAUUCCUAGCGAGAUAACUGGUGAUAAAAACUAGGAAAACAGGUAAAAACCUAUGAAUCUAGUUGAUAUCGAUAACUGAUGAAUAAAUCUAAACGAAACAACAGCGAUGCGCCGGAAGUUAAAGCUUAGAUAUUACUUGAUAAGCGGAACUUACAGAAUCGGCCGGAGAUCAAGAUGAUGCAGCCCUGCCAACCCGCACGAACUCGUGAGAAGAAAAAGUAAUGGCGAAGUCGCCUGCUCGAAAGUAAGUACGAAGAAGAAAGUAACUUGUUGUAUUGAUUGAUUGUUGUGUUUACAGAUUUACAAAGGUAGCUAUUUAUAGCCCUGUACAAAUAACCUUCUUAACUGACUAGAACUCUAUCUCUAAUUCAAACAGAAAACAAAUAUCUACAAGCACAACCCGUGCUAAACUAGUUACCCCAUGCUUCGUGGGCUGACCUCCACCUUAUCCUUCCAUCUUUCCAAGCCCAUACAGGCCCAACUAGUCCAUCUUCCUGAUCGGCCGAUUUCUUAUCGGCAAAGGAUUGCCGAUUGGGAGUCUGGCGCAUUCACCCUGAAGCGAAGCAAAAGCUACCGGCCGAUUCCGCAUUAUAGCACCAUUUGACCGAUUCCCAACCGUACUUCUUCGACUUCUUUUCUCCUUGGCGCCGAUUCUACUGAUGACGAAAUCCGGCGUCAACACAUGCCCCCCAGUUUCGGAGUAAAACACAGUCUUUUACUUCGAAAUUCUUUAUAACCUCCCCUCCGAAACGGCCGCAGUGAAAAUAUCCUUCCGUUUCGCGGUCUCCCGGCUGAUCAUUGCAAUUUUUGAAACGGGCGCCCACGACAGCCACUACCCCGAAAAACUCGACACGCCGGCGCGGUGAAAAUUCCAUCUUUACCCUCUCUUCAGGCACCCUAUAAAUAACACCUCACCGCAGCUCAUCUUCAAGCUCACGUCUCUUUUUCCAACGCGCGCGCAUCCUUCUUUCUUCAAUUCUCCCUUGCCAUCGAAGUCUUCUAGUUCCAGCUCCUGUCACUUCUUCCCCUUUCCCUUCAAUGGCGACUCCUUCCGGCAAUUCCCCCGCACGCGAUGCUCCAGAGAUAGUGCCUCCGGUGGUGGUAGCGACGGCCGUCACUUCUUCCGCAGAUGAAAAAGCUUCAUCAGAAAUCCCAAUGGCGGUCCCCAUCAUGGCCCCGUCAUCUGCAUCCGCGUCGGCGACCACGCCGAUUACUCAGAACUUUAUCCCGGAGGUAAAUACCGAAUCCUUCCUCUAUCGGCAAUAUAUUCAUCUUAGAUCUAUUCCUUACAUUCCUAUGCCCCUUUUCUUUUUUUUUAGGCGGUUAGACAUAGAAUUACUAUUCACCUCACGGGCAAUCCUGGCCUUGUUUGCCUUGGCCCCAUGGGAGACCCAGAUCCGGCGGUUCUUAUAGAUUUGGAAACUUAUCGGAUACCUUUCAAACGAUCCGAUAUGAACUUAGAUCAAUGGGCAAGCACUUUUAGAUCCUGGCCGAAUGAAACCCCAGGUUGGAGGGAAUGGUACCAACGGGUGGCCGCGUCAAGGAGCGUCUCGUGGGAUGAGCUCAAAAUUGGCCAAUGUAUCAACCUCUCCCUGUCUCAAAUGGAGAAAAACGAGCCGUUAGUGAUGGCGACUUCCUAUUUUUGGUCUGACGCACUUAAUGCGUUCUUGUUUGGACACGGUCCUAUGACUCCCACUCUGGCCGAUGUGGUCCUCUUGACCGGCCUGGACAUAUCUUCCCCUGACAAACCUUUCCAGCUUUUGACCGUAACAUCGCAUCGGCUGGACACAAGGGGAAUCGGCGGCUGGAAGGGCUUUAUCAGUAGUAUCAAGAAGACCGGUACUGUUGAGAACAGGGAACACACCGCUUUCCUGAUGAUGUGGCUAGAAAAACACCUUUUCUGUAGAAGAGCCGCCGGCCCAACAACCAACACCCAAUCUUUAGCUGAAGCACUGUCCAAAGGAAACCAUAUUCCUCUCGGGAAACAUCUUCUGGGUGCCGUGUACCAUAUGCUCCAUCAAAUCAGUACGAAACUUUCCAAGGGAGAACCAAUCGGCAACCCAGGUGGGCCUUGGUGGUUCGUCAAUCUAUGGUUGAACCUUUACAUGAACAGAAUCACCCGGCAGCCAGUGGACCACAUGACGUUUCCCAAUAUCGAAUCGGCGGAGGACCCUACCGAGCGUCGCCGAUGCAUGUCUUAUGGUGAAGCAGCGUCAGCUUUUCCAGGUUGUGCGUAUUCCGCUACAAAGGUAGCCGAGUACUUUCGGUGCUUUUAUAAUGGAUUUAAUGAGGACGCAACUACCUGGUUUCCAUACCAGCGAGACAUCCCAGUCUUCGAGCUCCCCUCCUGCUUCGAUUCAACUUCUGGCCGGUUUGAUGAAGAUCUUUAUGAAGAACUGAUUAAACCAGGACUCUUACCGGCCAACUUCUUCUCGGGGAAAGAUGCCCCUACAUACGAAUUCUACAACCCGUCUACUGCCGCACGACAAUUCGGCAUGGGUCAAUUGCCGAUACGGGUGUAUUUUGCUGGCCGAAUCAAGUUCAGAGAUGUGCUUACAACUGGCCUGGAUUACUGUCGGCUGCGAGACCGAAUUCCGGACUCCAGUACAAUUAAUUUGAAUGACUGGCUAUUAUAUCCAUUUGCCAUCCAGCCGUUCAAACUUUGGUGGGCCGAAUGGAAGCAAUUUCUAUUCUGCAACUCAGCAUCGGCAUACUGCAAUCUUCUAGAUCCGGCCAACAUUGAUCCCAACGCCGAGGUAUUUCUGAUUACCAAUUUUGUUCUUUUCCAACAUGAUUGAGUACUAAUGAUUUCAUUGUUUCUUUAGGCCGAGAAUCAAACCCCUCCAACGCACAGCCGCAGCGGUCGGCUAAUGGAGAGCUACCCGUACACCACCUAUCCCCUUAUCGGCUAUGACGCUCCGUCAGUUGACAUGAUUGCUGGCCGAUCGAACAAGGUUCAUAAAAAGGUCAUCAAGAAAACCAGUCGCCGAGUCCGGGCUCGUACGACAUCGGCGGAUCCUCCUGUGCUCGUAUCGGCAGAAACCUUGACUGCAUCGCCCCAGGCCACACAAAGUACCGAUACUCAAGCCAUUGCACAAGCCGGAGCGGCUGCCGCCUCACUAUUGUUGGAAGCUUUACAAGUGAGUUCAAGCUUUGCCAUCUCCGAUCGUUAUUUACAUAUUAACUUUUUCUUAACUCUGUAUUCCCCAGAGCACCGCUUCGGAAAUACCACAAUCGGCGACAACUCGACCGGACGCCAACGCACCCUUGCCCUCAUCCAUUGAGGUAUAGUACUUAUCUUACGGAUUUCCUUCGGGUAUCCGUGUAAUAUUUUUGACCGAUUUUCUGACGCAGGCCAUCGGCACGCCGAGCGUUUCUCGACAACCGAUUUCUUCUCAGGGAGCUGGUCCGAGCACCGCACCGAUUAUUGUAGAAUCUUCUUCAUCAGAUGAACCCAUGGUACAGGCCACUGAGCAAGUCCCGACAGUUUUACAAGCACAGCAUGAAGAAAUUCGCUUUAAAAUGGUAAGCCACUAAACCAGCUUUCAACCAGCCGAUUCGCUCUGUUUCCCCGCCGACUCACCCUUUUUUUUUCUUAUUCUCUUAGGAGCAAGACUCUCCCGACAACAGCCUCUUCUCCUUCGCGGUUGCUCUUUCUGAUGAUGAAGAAAUUGCGUCCCGCCAAGUCGCUUUAAGCUCCGUUCCUGACGAUGUCCGAGCUAAACUUGCCAACAUCCGAUCCCUCCUGCAAGGGGACAUCGGCCGAUUGGUAGAAGAUGCUUCGCCGAUUCGGCAGCUCUUUAGCGACGUCAGCGGAUGGGUACCAGAGGAAGCGGAAGAGGCCUUGGCACCGGCGGCCUUUAUUGAGUCCAUGAGGAUCCUAGUUUUUAGGGCCCUUCGUCAUAUGGCCGAUCGCGCGAAGCUGGCCAAGACUCGUGAAGAUGAGAAUGCUUUUAAGCGUCAGGCUCAGGAAGCGAAUCGGCGUAUCCAUGUCUUAGAAGAUUCACGCCCGGCGAUCAUUAGUGAAAUAGAUCGCCUCAAACGACGGCGGGCGGAACUUGCCAAAGAGAUGGAGCAAGUGACCAAGGCAAUCAACGCUGAAGAGAACAAACUUCAAGAGUUACCCUCUGCUAUUGCCGAUUUGACACGGGAGAGGCAGCGUUUUGCUCAAGAGGCUCUGAGACUCCACCGCAACGCAUCGGAGGUCCCUGGAUCAGCAGAAGAAGACCAACGGGUUCUUGACUCUGCCGAUCAGAUCCGGCGUCGGGCCAUCACGGCUAUCGAUACCCUUUUGGGUAAUCUGUAAAACACUGACCGUUUUGUACGAACAUUUACUGCCUUCUUUGACCGACCCUUCGCGACGCCCUCUAUUUACUGCCUUCCUUAUUACCGAUGGGACGUGGCCUCAUCAGAUUUCCACGCAUUUCCCCCAUAAAUAUCGACCUCGGCGCUUACUCCCGAUAGCAUUGAUCUGGCUCCCCUUUUGCCUUUCCUCUUCCUCUCAUCGGCACGACUGUUUCGCCAUGGCCUCAUCGUCAUCCUCUUCUGUCAACCAGGUGAGGUCCCGCCUUCUCCUCUUAGAUCUUAGGAAACGAAUGCUUCACCUUAUUCCUUCUUUGUUUCAGCCCCAACGCCUUGGUCCGGAGCUCGUGCGCGCCAUCGAGUGCAUCCAUUCCGAAGACCCGUUGACCCCGGAGGACAAGGCUCUGCUUCUGGCCCAUCGAGAGGAGCUCCAAGACCACAUUACUGCAGAUGCUCGUGUAGUCUUGGAUGCCGUGGUGAACGAAAGCCGUCGCCGAUCUCCAGUCAUGAGGGGUCGUCAUCGUGACGUUCCCGGAGAUGACGUCACUUCGACAGCCCGCACGAUCCUGGACUUCUUGGAAAGGAAUGGCAGCCCGCGGCCUCCCACCGAUAGGGUCCGUCUGCUUCCUCGUCCCGUCAUCCUGGCAGCGGCAGAGGCCUCGCGCCUUCGUGCUUUGGAGCGGAAUGGGGAAUCAUAUCAGAAGAAGGAUAAUUAGUUUGUUUUUUGUAAUUUUUUGUUCUAAGGGCGACUUAAUGUUUUGUCGGCCAUGUAAUCUGUCGCCCGUACCGAAUGAAUAUAAUUGGCUACUCCGGUCGAUUUUAUGUGCUUGUUAAACCGACUUGUAUCGGCCAUGUAAGAUUGUGUUACGGCUGAUUUCUUAGGCUCCAACCCAUAUACUUGGGUAAUAUCUUUUUAAGUACCUCCCAUUCAGAGCUCUAGUGAAUUCUUCUCCUUCUAUUGUUUCCAAAAUAUAGGCAUUCCCUGGAGCACAUCUGCCGAUUUUAUACGGCCCUUCCCAGGUAGGAGACCAUUUGCCGAAUUUAGGAUCUUUCGAUCCGAUCGGUAGUACCAAUUUCCAUACCAGGUCUCCGGGGAAGAACUGCUUGACUUUGACCUUUUUAUCGUACCACCUGACCACUCUCUUUUUAUUCUCUUCGAUACUUAUCAGAGCCCUUAGCCGUUGGCCGGCCAAAUCAUCAAGUUCUCCCUUCAUCAGAGAUGAGUAAUCAUCGGCUGACAACUGGUCCUGAAGUGAGAUGCGCCUUGAUCCUGCCCUCGACUCCCAUGGCAGUACUGCAUCGUGACCGUAUACCAACUGAUAGGGAGAUAACUUGGUAGCCCCAUGACAGGCCAUUCUGUAUGCCCACAGGGCUUCGGUCAAACAUAGGUGCCACUUCUUCGGGUAUUCUUCAAUCUUCCUUUUGAUCAACUUGAUUAUUCCUUUGUUGGAAGGUUCUGCUUGACCAUUGGCUUGAGCGUAAUACGGAGAAGAAUUUAACAAUUUGAUGCCCAUAUCGGUCGUAAAUUCCUCAAAUUCCCCCGAUGUGAACAUUGUUCCUUGAUCGGUUGUUAUAGUUUGAGGAAUACCGAAUCGGUAGACGAUAUGAUCCCUUACGAAAUCGGCCAUGAUAGCCGAAGUCACAGUCCUUAGUGGGAUUGCCUCCACCCAUUUGGUGAAGUAAUCAGUAGCAACCAGAAUAAACUUGUGCCCCUUGCUCGAUGGUGGAUAAAUUUGGCCGAUAAGGUCUAUUCCCCACCCUCUGAACGGCCAUGGUUUGAUGAUGGGAUUCAUGGCCGACGCGGGUGCACGUUGGACAUUUCCAAACUUUUGACACUCCUGACAACCCUUAUAAUAUUUGAAACAGUCUUCGAGGAUCGUAGGCCAAUAGUACCCGUUGUUUCUGAUCAUCCACUUCAUCUUAUGUGCUGAUUGGUGAGCUCCGCAUACCCCUUCAUGGAUUUCUCCCAUUAGAGUCUUGGCUUCUUCUGUCCCAAGGCAUUUAAGAAGAACACCAUCGAUCGUUCGGUAGAACAGAUCAUCUUCGAGCAAUACGUACUUGGUAGCGUGAAAGCGCACUCGUCGCUCCACCUUUUUAGACGGAUCCUUCAGGUAAUCGGCAAUUUCUUUACGCCAAUCGUCCGCUGCAAGUUCUAAGGCCAUGGUGCCCGGAAUCGGCCGAUACCCAGAUGCGUGUUGAGCGAGUUUGUUUGCUUCCUCGUUGCAGUCUCUUGGGACAUGCUCGAUUACUACCGAUCUGAAUUCUUUUAAAAGCUGUAAGCAAUCUUCGUGAUGAAUUCGUAAUAUGUCAUCUUUGCACUCAGCCCUUCCGGUUAGUUGAUCCACAAUUAGCAUCGAAUCUCCGAAGACCUCAACAGAAUCGGCCUUGACUUCUCUCAAUAAUCGUAAGCCUUUUAAUACAGCUCUGUACUCCGCUUGAUUGUUUGUGGCGGCGGUUUCUAUCGGCAGAGAAAAAUUAUAUCUUGCCCCCCGAGGCGAUAUGAGAACGAUGCCGAUUCCUGAUCCGACUCCGCAUGAUGACCCAUCAAAAAAUAACUGCCAAGGCGCUAGUUCCACGAAGGCGAUCUCCGGCCCACAGUGCUGGGCGACGAAAUCGGCCAUGACUUGACCCUUGAUGGCUUUUGCCGAUUCAUACCGUAGGUCAAAUUCUGAUAAAGCUAAGAUCCAUUUACCGAUUCGUCCUUUCAAUAUCGGCAGCGACAGCAUGUAUUUCACUACAUCAUCUUUGCAUACGACUAUACAUUCUGCCGACAGUAGAUAGUGCCUGAGUUUGGUGCACGAGAAGUAAAGACACAAACACAAACGCUCCACCGGAGGAUAUCUUGUUUCGGCAUCCAGGAGUCUCCUACUGACGUAAUAAAUGACCCGCUCUUUGCCUUCAAACUCUUGGACUAGAGCCGACCCGAUAGCUUUUUCAUCGGCUGAUAAAUACAGUUUAAACGGUUUACCAGUUUGAGGGGGAACCAAGACUGGCGGUGAGACCAAGUAUCGCUUGAUAUCUUCCAACGCCUUGCGCUGUUCCUCUCCCCAUAUAAAUUCCUGGUCUGGCUUCAACUUCAGAAGUGGCGUGAACGCCUGAAUUCGUCCAGAUAGAUUAGAUAUAAACCUUCUGAUGAAGUUUACCUUGCCGAUUAGAGACUGUAGCUCAGUUUUGUUCUGUGGGGCGACGACUUUGUUGAUGGCCGCUAUGGUCUUCUGAUUGACUUCUAUGCCACGUUCGUGCACCAUGAAUCCUAAGAACUGUCCGGCGGAGACGCCGAAAGCGCAUUUGUUGGGAUUCAUCUUAAGACCAUGCUUCUUGGUACACUCUAGCACCCUUCGCAAAUCGGCUAGAUGUUCCUCGUGGCUUUUGGACUUGACCACAACGUCAUCGAUAUAGAUCUCCACCAGGAGGCCAAUGAGUUUGUGAAAAAUGUAGUUCAUGGCUCUCUGAUACGUAGCACCAGCAUUCUUCAAGCCGAAAGUCAUUACCACCCACUCGAAUAAACCAAGAUGGCCUGGACAUCUGAAAGCCGUUUUGGGUAUGUCCUCUUCGGCCAUAAGUAUUUGAUUGUAUCCGGCGUUUCCAUCCAUGAAGCUAAUAAUUUUGUGUCCUGCGGCAGCGUCGAUCAGUACAUCGGCCGUAGGCAUGGGGUAACCAUCCAUCGGUGUGGCCUGAUUAAGAUUCCUGAAAUCAACGCAAACGCGCAGCUUCCCAUUUUUCUUGUACACUGGCACGAUAUUAGAAAUCCACUCGGCAUAACGACAUUGCCGAAUAAAUUUUGCUUCAAUUAGCCGAGUUAUUUCAGCUUUUAUGUCUGGUAAAAUUUUAGGAUUGCAUCGCCGUGCGGGUUGUUGGUACGGCCGAUACCCUGGCUUUAUGGGUAGCCGAUGUUCAACAAUAGAUCGAUCUAAUCUGGGCAUCUCGUGAUACUCCCAAGCAAAACAAUCCUUGAAUUCUCUUAAUAAAUUUGUCAAUUUACACUUAUACUCCGGAUCUAAAUUUGCACUAAUAAAAGUCGGCCUUGGUUUGGUCCCGUCACCUAAGUCUAUCAUCUCUAAUGAAUCGGCCGACGUGAAUCCGUGUCCCAGCUUCCCGUCUUCUCGGGCGAACUGAUCCAUCUAUUGCGCUUCUUCGGAGCCGACUGCUCGGAUCGGCUGUAGGCCAAAAUCGGUGACCUUCAGGAAAUCGGUUUCCCACACCCUACCUGAUAUGCAUCUGACGGUUUCGCAGCUCCAUUGCUGUGCGUCGGCUGCUGCGAUGCUGUACGCGGAGUCGGCUUUGACCACCUCGAUGUUAUCGCCGACCCAUUGUACAAGGCAUUGAUGCAUAGUUGACGGGAUGCAGCAAUUUGCGUGUAUCCAGUCUCGGCCAAGAAGCAUAUUAUAGGACCCUUUGCCAUUAAUGACGAAAAACGUGGUAGGAAGGGUCUUACUGCCGAUGGUGAGGUCGACGCAGAGGGCACCGCGAGCGUUUGACACUUUGCCUUCGAAGUCCUUGAGCAUCAUGUCCGUCCUGGUUAGGUCGUCGUCGCUCUUUCCCAACUUUCGGAGUACGGCAUACGGCAUGAUAUUGACGGCAGCUCCCCCGUCGACCAUCAAUCUAGUGAGGGGGCGACCGUCAACAUGCCCUUUAAGGAACAACGCCUUCAUAUGUUGUCGUUCGUCGUCUUCGGGCUUUUCGAAUGUGGCCAUCAUUGGUUCUAAAGCCAACCGUGCUGUUUGUUCCUCUAUCGCCGACACGUCCUGUUGAUCGGCAGGGGUCAUGAACUCCAUCGGCAAUAUGAAAACCAUACCGAUCUCGGCUGCCGAUUCAUCACCCGCCGACUCAUUGUUUCCCUUGUCGUUUCUUUUGGGGCGCCACACCCGAGGCCUCCCUUCCUUCUUGUCCAUCACGCUCUCUUCUUCUUGCUGUUCCCAUUGGCGGAGGCGUUGGAUUCUCCGUUUUUGUGAUUUGGUUAAACCAUCGGGGCACCAUCUGGGGUUUAUUGGCCUCCCUUCUUUCCCGGCGCGUUCCCAUUCUGGCUCGUGUCCUAACGGGUUCUCGUCCGUUACCCGAGCAUCGGCCAUGUCUUCGAGCCGGCUGUGAACGCUGGCUUUGCUACUUGAUUGAUCAUGUCGAUCGGCCCUGCCCCCCUGCCUAUUAUGGCUUCUAUCUUCUGACCGAUCAUAUCGGUCACUUCUGCCCCCCAGCCGAUCACGCAUGGGAGGGCGCUGCUCAUCUGGGUUGCGCCAAUUCCUGCUGAUCGGUUCUGGCCUUCCGUCUCUGGAGCGAGACCUGGUGAACGGCCGAUUGCCUCGAUAGGGACCGUUGCACUCCGGGCAAGUAUCGGCCGACGGUAGCCUGAGGUUAUUUUCCCAACAAUGCACGAAGAAUGGGCACCUCCAGUGCUCCUCGUGCCGACGCAUCGCUUCCUCUCGGGACCUCGAGCGUUCAUGUUGGCGUUGGUACUUUUGGAGCAGGAACUGGGAAGUAAUGCGUGGUCCUUCUGACUCACCAUCAUCGUCCUCCAUUCGUCGCUUUCCCUUGAUGUCUUCAGACGUAACUUGAUUUCUGGGAUCGACAGCGCCACUCUUUUUGGCCGACUCGGACGUCAGCACUUUUGUUUGGAGAGAAUUCUUUCCCGUGUCAGCCAUGUUGGUAGGAAAAGGGUGCUGGUCGAUUUUCAUUGGUUUGGCCGGUUUUGCCGGCACUUCAAAUUUGAGUCUGCCCUGCUCAAUGGCCGACUGUAUUUGUUGCCUGAAGAUUUUGCACUCGUUGGUAUCAUGUGAUGUGGCAUUGUGCCACUUGCAAUACUUCAUCUUCUUCAAUUGUUCGGCAGAGGGUAUUGUAUGGUAAGGCGAGAGUUUAAUCUGCCCUUCCUGGAGUAGAAGAUCGAAGAUUUUGUCAGCUUUAGUUGUAUCGAAACCAAAUGCUUCCGGCUCCUUCUUGCCGAAUGGGCAUGAUAUCGGCUUCUUUCCCUUAAUCCACUCUGCAAGUCCGAUUUCGGCAUCUUCCUCGUCCUCUAAUUCUUCCAGGAAUGCCACUUUCUUCUGGAAAUUCCUUCUAGGAUCGAACGGACGCACUUCCUGCCCGGACAAUCGGUGGACAAUCUGGCUCAGGCUCUCGAACUCUUGUGAAGCAUAUUUUUCUUUAAUGUGUGGCAGCAGGCCUUGGAAAGCUAUAUCGGCCAACUGUGCGUCGGUUAGAGCCAGGGAGUAGCAUUUGUUCCUGAUUUCCCGAAACCUCUGUAUAUACGAGGGUAUCGGCUCAUCACUUCUUUGCCGGAGGCUAGUCAAAUCGGACAGCUUCAUUUCAUGGACCCCAGCAUAGAAGUACUUGUGGAACUGCCUUUCUAGAUCGGCCCAUGUGAUAAUUGAGUUUGGUGGCAAAGUUGUGAACCACUGGAAGGCCGAUCCAGACAAGGAUGACGAGAACAACCGCACCCGCAGGGCGUCUUGCGUAGCUGCCUCCCCACAUUGAAUGAUGAAUCUAUUCACAUGUUCCACGGUAGAGGUGUCAUCCAUCCCCGAAAAUUUGGUAAAAUCAGGAACUUUGUACCGAUGAGGGAACGGCAACAUGUCAUAUGUAGAUGGGUAUGGUGUUCUAUAGGUAUAAGUUUGUACUUUCGGCUUCAAGCCGAAUUGUUCUUGCAUUACCUCUGCAAUCUGUGCCGACCAAUCUGGUUGUUGCUGGGGAACAGUUGGCUGCGGUAUCGGCACGUGCUGAUAAAUCGGAGGCUGAAUAAAAGGAGAUUGAUGAAAAGGUGGUAUCUGAGUGUAAGCUGGUGGUGUAGUAAAGGACGGCUGCUUGUAUGAACCACUUGUUUCAUCAUAUAGCAUGAGCUCCGACGUCUUGUUGACCUCCGGAGCGAUAGGCUGGUAUGGUGGUAUGAUCGGCCGAGUGGCCGUUUGGGAGGGUGUCUGGAACGGAGGAUUUCCUUGACUGACCGAUUGAUUCAAACCGGUCGUGUUUAAAGGUGCCCCCCAGGGUAAAGGGAUGACUGGAGGGAGUGGUGCAGAGGACGGUUGGAUAGAGCCAUAUCCCAAAGGAGUUGAUGACGCAGAAGCACCGGAUCCUCCGACAGAGGAUUGUAGCGGCUGUGAAGCCUGAUAAGCCUGAUUUGGUGGAAUCGGCUGAAAAUACGUUGGUCCCCUGUACCCUUGAGGUAUACCUCCGGCGAAGGAGUUGACAACAGCAUUGUGCACCAUGUUUGAGAGUACCGGGGAUUGGUUGAUGAAGGCGUGAUGAAGAGAUUGUUCAAUCAUAUCGGACAUUUUAUCCGAAUCUUCAGAAAUUGUGAUCUGACGGGGAGUAGGGAAAGGAGACUUUUUAACAGUUUCCCCGCUCCUGGAACGACUGAAGGAUUUCAAGCAAGUUUUCCGGACUUGCUCCAAAUACUUAUUCAGAUCUUCUUUUUGGUCGUCCUUUAGAUCUGCUUCCGUCACUUCGAUGACGUUAUCUUCGGAGACUUCAGCAGCUUUCGACAUGACAGCGGUUGUAUUGGUCCCACCGGGCGUGCUAAAAGUGUGUUGGCGCUAGAAAUCGGUCAACCGAAUCCCAGCGACUGACACACGACCCGGGAGAAUCUGCUUAGCUCCUGUUCGGGUAAAUGCCCUGGUGCGGUUCGCGCGGCGUGCCAGCCAAUCUGACCUGUUGAUUGGCAAGGAAGAACACGUGUCAAAUUCAGAAACUACGAUCGGCUAAGUUUCCGAUCGAGAGAAGCUUAAUCGGCAAAUCGGCCGAUUUACUGUGAUAAUGAAAUCGGCUAUAAGACAGCACGAUCCCUGUAGCCUUGUAGACAGAAAAAUACUAAAGUAAUCGGUACAAAGCUUGUGAUAACAGCACUAGGAAAAGAUCUAAUCGGCAAUGAAUGGAUCUAACGACAGAAGGUGAUGAAAGCCGAUACUACCGAUUCCUAGCGGGAUAACUGGUGAUAAAAACUAGGAAAACAGGUAAAAACCUAUGAAUCUAGUUGAUAUCGAUAACUGAUGAAUAAAUCUAAACGAAACAACAGCGAUGCACCGGAAGUUAAAGCUUAGAUAUUACUCGAUAAGCGGAACUUACAGAAUCAGCCGGAGAUCAAGAUGAUGCAGCCCUGCCAACCCGCACGAACUCGUGAGAAGAAAAAGUAAUGGCGAAGUCGCCUGCUCGAAAGUAAGUACGAAGAAGAAAGUAACUUGUUGUAUUGAUUGAUUGUUGUGUUUACAGAUUUACAAAGGUAGCUAUUUAUAGCCCUGUACAAAUAACCUUCUUAACUGACUAGAACUCUAUCUCUAAUUCAAACAGAAAACAAAUAUCUACAAGCACAACCCGUGCUAAACUAGUUACCCCACGCUUCGUGGGCUGACCUCCACCUUAUCCUUCCAUCUUUCCAAGCCCAUACAGGCCCAACUAGUCCAUCUUCCUGAUCGGCCGAUUUCUUAUCGGCAAAGGAUUGCCGAUUGGGAGUCUGGCGCAUUCACCCUGAAGCGAAGCAAAAGCUACCGGCCGAUUCCGCAUUAUAGCACCAUUUGACCGAUUCCCAACCGUACUUCUUCGACUUCUUUUCUCCUUGGCGCCGAUUCUACUGAUGACGAAAUCCGGCGUCAACAGAGGGCAUACUAACUUAAACUUUGUGAGGGAUCGUUCUACUUUUAACAUCACAGCAUGCAGAAAGUAAAACAUAAACAGAAUAGCAUUCACACAGUUGUGACACAGUAUGACCCGUUUUCUUAUGGUGAUCUCCAUCUCCAUAGAACCUGUUCACCAUGGUGAUCUCCAUCUCCAUGUUCCAUGUGCGCCAUCCUCCUGGUGAUGAGUCCUCCAAGAACUAGAGCAUGCUAUUACGCCUGAUAGCUAGUAAAAAAUCUAGUAAUGAAGAUUACAUAGUUGCUUGGAUCAUCACAGAUUGGUACGCAGAUCAUUAAAUACAAUAAAGUGACAACACAUAUGGCUCCUGCCGUGUUGCCGUAUGCGCGACACGCAGGUCACGAAUGAGUUACACACAUGCAUCACAUACACAAGGGGGCCAUACUGAUCACAAGAUAAAUACAUACAUCCUGCAAAAGAGAGUUAGGCGUCCUAACGUUCCAAACUUGGGAGGCCCGAAACUCCAUCUUCCAAGCCGAAUUUGGGAAAUCUAAUUUCGCCAAAAACAGCAAAGCCGUUGAAUUUCAUGUGUAACUUUUUCUGUAGAUCAAUUUUCGUAUAAAAAUCGCCUCGAUCCGAGAUCGUACCGAAAAGUUACAGCUGAUUUACCGAAGCAUACGCAUACGGCAAAAUCCCGACCCCGACAGUAGAUCACAUCUACUAUUGCACAUCUAAUGCGCCUGGCGUAUGACCCUGGAUCUCGAUUCGACCAAUCAUAUUGAUCUUCGCUCACUGCAACUGGAUUUACGUGUAUCACUUAACUCCGAUGGCGGAAACCGACCGGUAGGAGUAUGUCGUUACACUACCAUUGCAGCAAGGGCACGAAAUCAGGACAUAGAUCAAACAGAGAACUCGCAUAUCUCCAUAUGCACACAUCCCGAAUCCAAAACUAAGCAGCUACGGCUCUGAUACUACUGUUGCGAUACGAGGUAGGCUACACUAGCGUAAAUCAAAAUUUCUACCGCGUAUAACCAGGAAGAACUGCCGUAUAAGGAUCACGGGAUUACCACUCGACGCACUACUGGUGUGGAAGAUGUAGAUAUGCGUCGAUGCAGUGAAGACGAUCACGUAGUUGUACGUAGUCGAUCAACGUAGUCGUACGUAGUCGAUCACGUCCAGCAGCUCCUCAGCAGCUCGUCCACGUGCACAGCAAGAUCGCCUCCGGUACCGCGGCUCGUCGUCGGCUCGUCGUGGCUCGUCGGCGGCUCGUCCAAGUGCUGCAGGCGCAACACCUCCAAGGUAUCCACACGUGCAGGGAGGAAGCGUCGCAAGCCGGAUUGCUAGAUCCGCGAGUUGCAGCAGGCGAGGGCGUGGGAGGCGCGGCAGGUGUGUUUCGCCAAAAGGUGUAAACCCUAGGGCACCCCCACCCCUCUAUUUAUAGAGGUUCCUGAUGGGCCUCUGGAUCCGAGGCCCAUUAGUACUCCUAAACCUAAUCCAACUCGGAUCAGAUCCGAAUUGGGCUUCCAGCCCCUUAAGUGUGUGACCCUAUGGGUUCGAAUUCGUAUAGACAUGGCCCGAGUACUCCUACUCGGCCCAAUAGUCGGUAGCAGCCUCUAGCAAGACGUGACAACUCCUAUACGCAUACGAAGAUCAUAUCAGACGAACCAUCACAACAUAAUAUACAUGCUAUUCCCUUUGCCUCACGAUAUUUGGUCUAGCUUCAAGCCGACCGCUCUUUCUCGAUCCUGUGAUUCGGAAUCCCUUUGUAGGUUAACUCUUAACCGUACGUAGCAUGGCCAUGCAUUUUUCGGAUCCGGUCACUCGAGGGGCCCAGAGAUAUCACUCUCAAUCAGAGAGGGGCAAAUCCCUUCUUGAUUUGACCAUGUCUCAUAGCAUGCUUCUUGACAAACCCGAAAGCUACCUUUAUAACUACCCUGUUACGGCGUAGCGUUUGAUAGCCCCUAAGUAGGUCGAUCCACAUCUAGAAUACAUGCGACAAUCUCAGGUCUAAGGACAAAGCGUAUAUGUUGUUUAAAGAGAGAACUACUUCUCGUGUUGGGUCAGUCCUAACACAUGUCUCCACAUGUGUCCACAUUAUUAGUUCAACAUCUCCAUGUCCAUGACUUGUGAAACAUAGUCAUCAACUAAUACAUGUGCUAGUCUAAUAUUCAUGUGUGUCAUCACAUGAACUCCGACUAGGGACAACUUUAGAAUAACCAUACAAGUAAAGAGUUUCACAUACAAUUCACAUAAUUGCAAAUCAAUUCAAGUAGCCUUUAAUGGAUAUUCAAUGAACACAAUAUACAAAUCAUGGAUACAAAUGGAAUAUCAUCAUCUCUAUAAUUGCCUCUAGGGCAUACCUCCAACAGUCUCCCACUUGCACUAGAGUCAAUCUAGAAGGUACCUAAUACCCAUAGCUCUUACAUGCGCAUCAUGCUUAGCCUGCGGGAGUGGUUUUGUCAACGGAUCAGAAAUGUUCAGAUCCGUGUGUAUUUUGCAUAUCUUGAUCUCACCCCGGUUAACGAAGUCUCGAAUGAGAUGAAAUCGCCGCAUUACGUGUUUGUUCUUCUGGUGGUUCCUUGGCUCCUUUGCUUGCACAAUAGCCCCAUUGUUAUCACAGUAGAGAUUCAAUGGGUUGGACGCAUUCGGGAACACACCAAGCUCAAUGAGGAAAUUCCUUAUCCAAACACCUUCCUUCGCGGCUUCCGAAGCUGCGAUGUACUCGGCUUCUGUCGUAGAAUCGGCCACCGUCUCCUGCUUGGAACUCUUCCAACUAACAGCACCACCAUUUAGCGUGAACACAAAUCCUGAUUGUGACUUUGAAUCAUCUCUGUCGGUUUGGAAACUAGCAUCGGUGUAACCUGUUACAACGAGCUCUUCCUGACCUCCAUAGACGAGGAACAUAUCUUUAGUCCUUCUCAAGUACUUAAGAAUGUUUUUCACCGCUGUCCAGUGACUCUCACCUGGAUCAGAUUGGUGUCUGCUUGUCAUACUUAGCGCAUAUGAAACAUCUAGGCGAGUACUUAUCAUUGCAUACAUGAUAGAUCCAAUAGCCGAGGCAUAUGGCACUCUACUCAUGCGAUCCCGCUCAUCAGCAGUCGAAGGACACUGAGUCUUGCUGAGAUGUAUGCCAUGUGACAUAGGCAAGAACCCUUUCUUUGCCUCUUCCAUGCUGAACCGCUUCAACACUUUGUCAAUAUAAGUAUCUUGGCUCAGACCUAUAAGCCUUCUCGAUCUAUCUCUAUAGAUCUUAAUGCCCAGAAUAUAUGCCGCUUCCCCUAAGUCCUUCAUCGAAAAACUAUUUUUCAGUGAAGUCUUUACGGACUCAAGCAUAGGAAUGUUAUUUCCAAUCAGUAAUAUGUCAUCCACAUAUAAGAUUAGAAAUACUACAGAGCUCCCACUAACCUUCUUGUAAACACAAGACUCUUCUUCGUUCUUGGUGAAGUCAAACCCUUUGACCACUUCAUCAAAACGAAUGUUCCAACUCCUAGAUGCUUGCUUCAAUCCAUAAAUGGAUCUCUGAAGCUUGCAUACCUUUCCAGCAUUUUUCGGAUCGACAAACUAGAACUAUAUAUAGUAAAUAGGCACGGGCUAAAAGUAUUAUAUGAUUUUGAGCUAAAUAAAUAUAGGGUUGGGUUGUGAAGGAGAUAUGGAUCUCGUAGCCAUGAGUGAACAAAACAGAGAGCGCCACACAUCGAUUAAAAGGUGGGCCGAAACAGAUAAAAGAUAAAAAAGAAUCAUAUCGGCCCACAAUGAAAUGUUAAACAGAAGAACGCAAAUCUUGAAAACAUAUGGGUCGUUCAAAACCGACGGGCUAAUCUUUCUACGUGCUGGGCUGAUCCCAUGUGGGCCGAUACAGACACGUCAGGACAAGAAGACCCACCCGGCCAGGCCCAGACGCAGGAGACAAGAGAUUGAAGAGGAUAGAUCGAAUCAAUAGCCAACUCCUCUCGUCGUCCUCGUCUCCAAAUCGAGGCAUACCCCAAACCCUAGCCAUCCCCAAUCCGGCCGCCGCGUCUACCGAUCCGUUAGAUCCAUGGCCGCCGCCGCCGCCGCCGCUGCCGGCGACUCCGCUGUACCCAACUGGGUGAUGCUGGAGCGCUUGGCCUUCCGGAGGGACGACCCCGCCUCCUUCCGCGAGGACAGGAGGACCUUCGCUUCCGGCACCACCUCCGCCGGCACUCAAUUCGACGUCUCCUUCAUCCUCGCCGAGCCUCCCACCCCCUCGCGCCUCUACCUCUCGUGGCCGGAAGGGCCCAAGAAGGGGGGCCAGGGCCUGGUCAUGGCGGCCAACCGCAACCUCGUCCUCUUCAGGCUCGACUCCCUCGUCGACGAAUCCGAGCCUUUCGGGCAGGUAGUGCAUGAUUACUUCAUCUACAUAGCUAAUCCCUCCUCACAGCAGACACCCCUGCUCAGACGGCUGCCCCCCUGCACCGAGUACAACGUUUAUAUUGAGAUGCAAGUUACUCGCUUGUUUCCGGUGCUGGCUGUUGGUCUGUUGUGCCAUGGCGAAGACGAGUUUGCCGUGGCGCAUCUGGCCAUCAGGCCUCGCAAAAAAAAAUCAGGGUCUCGCAAAAAAAAAUCAGCUAUGCAAGCUGAGCUAUGCGUGCUACGCUCGUCAUUGUCCAGCAGUGAUGAUGCCAAAUGGGAGACCAAGGUCUUUCCGCUACAGUACCAAUACGAUGAUUUACACUAUGAUUUUCUGAACUGGGAAGUGGAUGGUGUAGUUCCCUUCAAGAAUGCCUUGUGCUGGGUUAACUACUGUAGAGGCAUCCUUUUCUUCGACGGCGUCUUUGAAGACAGACCCAAGGUCUCCUACAUCCGCUUGCCUCUGGAUACUUCUUUCCGAGGGACUGGGACUGAUGCCGAUGCACGCAAGGGGAUGUACCGUGGCUUGUGUGUCACUGAAGGUGGCCAUCGGUUGGUAUUUGUUGAUGUUGCCCGUCAUGAUGGAAAAUGUUAUGGCCCGAGGAUGCCCAACACUGGUUUCACCCUCACCUCCCGGACAUUGAAGAUGACAGGGAAUUGCACCACGCCGUGGGAGUGGAAUCAGGAUGCUGUUGUCACUUCAGAUGAACUAUGGCAUGCAAACACCAUGGAGAGUCUCCCUCGUGACAUUGUGAUGCUCCCAUUGCUGAGUAUAGAUAAGGCCAAUGUUGCGCACCUUUCAAUGCUUGACUGGGAUGGUGGCAGAUUCUCAUUAGUUUCCAUCGACUUGAGUAACAUGCAAGUGAUGGGCCCAGUCAUUACAUACCUCGAAGGGGAGGAUGAUACUGCUGAUGCUGACAUCGUCAAGACAAAGCAAGUAUUAUGUGCACACUUUAUUCCAUCCGAAUUCCCCAAGUUCCUGGAUCUCAGGUAACUUCAGCGUUGCCUCCCACUUUUACUUGAGCACAAUUUUUUUUCAUGCAGCCUUUUGCUCUCCUUUUUUCAGCAGUUAAGGUUUCUGCCAUGUUAUUCUUGAAACCUUUGAGGAAUCAACAGAAUGUGCUGGUUGCUGGGACUAAUAUGGAUCAAUGUUUUCAAAUCCUUAUGUUGAGUCUAGUCGCUGGGUACCAACUAGAUGGCUAAUCGUGACUAGGCAACGAUUAAAUUGCAAUUAGCUCUGAGACCAGUCGAUCCACCCUUGCCUAUAGUAGUGAAUGAUAGAGUAUAACACAAAGGUGACGAACUGAUCUCUUGGUUUGAGCCCAACACAUAAUUGUUCUUUGUGGGUUCUUCAAUCUGAAAGUGCAUAAUAGCGUGCCAGCGUUAUGCUUUGUUUCCUUCACUAUUUUGAUUCUACAUGUCAAAUUAUUGAAAGGUUUUGUUCAGUUACCAACAACAUGGAUCCUUAGAAGUAAGUGGCACCCAGCGAAUCAGCAUCAUAUCGAAGAACCCCUAGGUCUUCUAAACAAACGGGCUGGAAUUGUGGAAAUCAAUUAAACUUAAUUAUAUCCAUAGUGCCUUCCUUGUAUAUCAUGUUUCAUUCAGCUAGUAGUAACCUCAGCAACUUGACAGUCUUGGGAAAUUAGGCAAUGGUAGUCUGCCUGUGGUUAAUAUAGGCCCUUUUUGUAUCCACUUAUUUCCUGCUUAUCAAUGGAAAUAAGCGAUAAGCCCACCCAAACGCCUAGCUUUUUUCCCGCUUUCCACCCAAGCCGCUUAGCCCACAAUCUGGAAAACAACUAGCGUCCCACUUAUUCUCUACGCGGUCUUGGGGCCGCUUCUCGGGCAAGCGAAGCGCUUUUUCCCGAUACCCUCACCCGUCCGCUGCCUGCCGCCCUCCGACCGGCGCCGGCGCCGGCUCCAUCCGCCGCCCGCCUGCCUCCACCGCUUCCCUGCACAAAUCCUAUCCAGAUCCCGUUGCCAUCGGUCACUAGCACUCCUGCCCAGAUCCCGUCGCCGCCGGUUCCGUUCACUGCCGCCACCGGUCGACCCUACGCUUGGCCCCCUGCGCUUGGCCUCCGGUCGGCCCUGCUGUUCUUUUUUGUGAAGGAGGUGGCGGAGUCCUUGCCGUGAGUGCUGGCCGUCUAUUGCUGAGUGCUGGCCGUGAGCAGCAUUUGAGCUCCCCCUGCGUGCUGCCGUUGUUGUUGAGAAGGAGCUAGUGCUGCCGUUGUUGUUGAGAAGGAGCUAGAUAUGGGUGCAUUGCGUCAUGUUAUUGCUGUCGCUAUGGUUCGUGAUUCGUUGUUGUACUCAUGAUGGAUGUUUCCAUACUAGACCGAUCUAUCAUAUGAAUUUCAUAUUAUUGUAAUGAAAUUUCUAUUUCACAAAAUCCAAAAAUAUUGGAAUUAUUAUCUUCUCCUCAAAUUCACAACAAAAAUGAGCUAUUAUGAGCCUCAGGGGCAUUUAGGUCAAUUUACCAGCCAGGACAGACAAUCGACACAAAAUAAUCAGGAUUGCCAAACACCCAGCUUAUUCAGACAGCGGAUUCUCCAGACAGCAGGCAAGCUUUUAAGAUAAGCCUGCUUGCCAGAUAAGCGAGUUCCAGAAAAGCGUAUAUAAACAGGGCCAUAAAUGUUUCACGGCUUAUUCUGUUGCUAACUGUUGCUUGUCACGUUGAUCAAAAUCGACCAUAAGCUAAGUUAUUUUUUCUUAAUGACGUCCGAGGCACCUGAGAAUCUUUUAUAAUUCUUGGUAACCAUGGAUACUAUCAAAAUAACUUCAGCAAUGGGUGAAUCUAAGACUAUGGGAAGCCUAAAUUUCGAUUUGUACAGAUUAUCUCUGCUGAAAAAAAUUAUUGAAAUCAUCAGCAUGUGUUGUAGCUGACAAUUAUUGUUUCCUAUUUGUAUUGAUGAAGUUCUUGCUACUGUAUUGCAGGAAGAGAGAGAAUCAUCCAUAAGUCCUGUCACCAUAUCGGCUGGCCACCGUCGUCAUGUGUGUUGCUUCUUCAUUUUCCAGUUCUGUUGUGCUGGAUUCUACUGCCGACUUUGUUGAUUGGCUACUACAAUUCUGAGUUUAGUCCUCAGCUUUUGUGUGUUCCCUGCACUUGUGUACUAUAAAUAGCCAGGAAAAACACCUUUACCAGGCUCAUCCGUUGAACUAUAUGAUAAUGCUAGAUGAUGUGUCCAUGCCUUGCUAACGUCUUCUACAUGCCAUGCGAGUUAAAAAUCCUGCAAUCAUGUUUCGUGGUAGCAGUUUACCUUUGCACAAUGAAACUCCUCACUAAACCACAGUUCAAUUUGAGGGACUACUGCGUUGUUUUUACAGGGAUCUAAUGCCAUCAAUCAAAUUGUAAAAUACAGACAGGUACGCGUGGAAUGGACACUUGUGUUCAUUCAGAUUUUUGUGAUAUUUCAUACCUAAUGAUUACCAGGUUGUCACGCCCCUACAUGCAAAAUUGGUCUACGAGAUGGGAUAUAAGCUCAAAAGGAUGCGAGAGCUGUAUUAUCAUGUAGCUCAUGACCUGGCAGAAGUGAAUAGUUGCACGAAAUACAACAUUGCAAACAAGGCUUUUAUUCAUUUUCUCUGCUGAUGCCACACGGUAGCAGAAGCAGUGCCACCAAUUGGUGAAAGAUUUUCAGUAAACUGAGUGUUUGACAGAACAAUAUGAUGCCACCAAAGCAAUCUGCAUGAGUUCUCUACCUCCGGAAGUCUAGAUGGUUGCUCUAUUUCAUUCCUCACCAUGGUCAUGGCAGGGCGUGACCGACUUUUUUGUAUUUUGGCCCUUUUCGCGAAAAAAUCUCACAAAUAGGCCCCUGGCGAAACCAAUUCCGAAAAUGGACAACGUCUUGGCGCCAGCCUACGCCGUGCCUCCGACGUGGCGCCGGCCCGCUGACGUGGCCCCGAGGCUUGGCGCCAAGAUCCAUGGCGCCAAGCCUCGGCGCCAAGAUCUGUGGCGCCAAGGCUCGGCGCCACCGUCGCUGGCGCCAAGCCUUGGCGCCACAGAUCUUGGCGCCGAGGCUCGGCGCCAGCCUCCCUGACGCCAAGCCCUCUACCAUAUAUAUCGCCCCUUCUUCCUGCCCGAGAGUUCCUCCUCAUUAUUCUCCACUCUCUCGGGUUUUUACUCUCCCUACUUUACCCUAGACUACGAAUCGACAUUGUAGCUUAGGAAACUUUCAGUUGAUCCGUGGAUCCUGAAGAGCAAGGUAUCCUCUCUCCGUCGUACCUUUUUUUCACAUCGAUUCGCUAUAUAUUUCUUGCAUUUUUGAACUUAGGGUUUCAUGCAAAUGUAGGAUGCCGAGGCGUGGAAAAGCUAAGAAACUAAGGUAAUCUCAACGCCCGUAGUUAUGUUAUAUACUCAUUGUUGUGGAUCAAAUGAAAAAACCUUAAUUGUAGGUUUAUUCUUAAGUGCGUUUGAUUCAUAGAACCAAAUAAACAAAAUUUAGUUAUGGCGCAAAGAAGACCGGAAAUGCGUUCGAUCCAUUGCCUCUGCCUAGUGGUGUUCCAGUGCCGAUGUGCUUUUGCGGCGAUCCUUGCAAGGUAGCCAAGUCCGAAGAACAUGCCACGUAUAGGCAGAGGUAUUGGAUGUGUUCCAACUUUGCGUUUGAACCUACACUUCAUCAGCGCCGCAUUAACAUGUUGGUAAGGAAAUGUUGUUGUCUUAUAAUUAUUGUCCAUAAUUUUUUUGUUUUAUAACAAUUGCAUUUGUUGUAGACCCCUCCACCGCUAUGUGAUUUUGAGCAGUGGAUCGACACUGAGAUCAAUCCUGAAGACAAGGAGUUUUUGGAGUAUAUGAUGCAUUGGGAUGCAGAGAGGAAGGAGGUGUACGAGAAGAGGCUCAUAGAGGAGGCUGCGGAAAAGGAGCACAAGGAAGAGGAGGAAAGGAGGCGGGUUGCUGCGAAUAGGGAGGAGAGAGAGAAGAAGCUUGAGCGGGCAUGCCGAGCGAAAGCAGCGGUUGAGGAGAAUCCUGAUGCCUUAAGGAAGGGAAAGUGGCCUCGUUGCACUCAGUAGCCAUAUUUAGGUUCUAGUUCUAUGGUUUAUUUAUGAACAAUAUUUUCUACUAUGAGACUUUUAUUAUGUUGUCAUGUAAUAAUGCACUUUAAGUAAGGACACGCAAUUUGUAGACGACAUAUGUUCAUUUUGCGAUGUAAUGCAUUUCGAAGUCGUAGUCUACUGAAAUAUCCGUAGAAAAUAAAAAUGGUACUUGUUAGCGAAAUUUCGGCAGAAUUUCCCCUACUUGUUGAUGCAAUCCAUACAAAAUUACGAGAUGAAUAGUGAAUAUAAAUACAAGCAUAGAAGCAUAGAAGCAUAUGACACAAGCAUAUGACACAUUCAGAAUAGAAUCCACAAUAGUUCAGAAUGAAAGUCCUUAUAUAUACAAAUAGUCCAUAUGAUACAAAGUUCGCAAUCAGAAUCGUCACUGCCUCCUAGUCUUACCCUUACCCUUGUGACCAAGGGCAUCGGUGCCUGGAGUGUAAGGAGAACGUGGACGACGUAGUCUAGUGCCCCCUACAACCUGUGUAGGCUGAGUCAAGGGAGCCUCCUGGAGCUGAGACGGGCCAAUCUCCUCGGCCCUCUGCUCAUCGUCGUCGUCAUCGUCGUCGUCGUCGACUUCCUCGGAUGCAAUUGAUUUCGAACCUGAGGGGCCUUGGCUGGACGUACCGAUGCCUCCUUCGCGUAGGGAUGGAACGUGCACGUCUCGCGUCGUGCCAGUCCUGCAACCACAACGAGCAGCGGCACGGUGAAGCCGAUUUGACAAUCGCUGCAGUAGUAAAAACAAGUUACACAAAUGAAGAAUGUAACGUAUUAAUAAAAUAUUAGAAAGAAUAAUCUGAGACUUACCUCUAGGACGCUCUGUAUCUCGGGGUCCCUAACUCGUGGACGGAUAUGCUCUAUAUCUCUAACCGAGCUUUGUAGGGUACGCCCCUGCAACAAAUGACUAAGUCACUAAAGCAACAAAUGUCUAAGUCACUAAACGACUAAAUGAUUAAGUCAGAUGAUCACUAAGUCCUUCUCUAACUAUCUAAAUCUCUAAGUAACUUAACAUAGAACAUAGAAAAGUGAAGCAAUUGUCUUACCAUCCUAUCCAGGAUUGGUCCUGCCUCCACCUGCCUUCCAGCACGAGUACUCUGAUCGUACACCGUGUCUUCAUCGUUGGAUGAGUGGAUAUCGGCGUAGUCAUCUUCCGUCCACGCUUCCCUCAGCCUGUGCCGCGUCGCACCUUGGUACCAGCUCUGGUAUUGCCUGUACGCACUGUUUGUGUGCGGCUCGUUGUUCUCGUCCAAGUUCUGCUCGAACUGCUCCUAUUCCUGAAUGUACGCGUGGUGGAACGCGGGCCACUCGAAGACCUUCCGUUUCUUCUUUCGAUCCACGCUGCACGUCACGUUACAGUUAGCCAAAAUUUAGUUAAUAGUAUUGAAAUAUAUGAAAUAGGAAAACACUUACUUGUGUAACUCUAUACUAGUCGAGGUCGCCUGUGGUGGCCAAAUCUGCCUCAUCCCAAAUUGACGUGCUACUCGAUGUGGCAGGUGGUACUCGACAGCAUAGAAGCAAAUAAGAGGGCACACCAUCCUAUAAAUAUCAUCGUCCGUCGCACACAUGAAGCUAAGGGGAAAAGGAAGUGGAUCGUCUCCGUCGUAAGGCUGCCAAUUUACCUGCAAAAUUUGAAUCAAAAACGUUAGUUGUUAUACUAAAAGAUUACAAAGCAUGUUUAAAAAAAAUUCACUUACACUAUGAGCAGUGAGCGCGUCUAUCUCGUUGAUGUAAUCCAGGUACGCGCGGUCCAACCUCGUAUGGCUAACCUUAACCUGAUCCCAAAUAUAUGCCCAUGUCGGCUGUCGUCUCGGCGGCUCACCUGGGAACCACGGUCGACGCGGCAUAAUCUCGGGCCGACCAACAGGAAGACGGGACCACAUCCAUAAUUGCAAUAGGUAGACACACCCACCAACUGACGGGGAGCCCGAAGUCCGACGGCACGCCUCGCACAGCUGCCGGUAUAGAAAGCACAACACAGCUGAUCCCCAGCUGUAAAAACCAGCCUGGUGCCAGUUAGUGAGGCAGUGGAUCCACAUCCAAGACGCAGUGUCACCUGUAGCAUCUGGGAAAAGAACGUAGGCAAAGAGGUGUAGUAUCCACGCCCUGCAGUAGUGUCCAACUGUCUCAGCAUCCGCGUCCUGGGGGCACUGGCCGAAGUGUUCCCGCAGCCAUGAGAUUAGCACUCCAGAUGUGCGAGUCCCCUGCUCCUCAACCUCUCGCCCCAGGAAGGCUGCGACUCGUGCUCUCCAACCCUCUGAGACGCACGACCCAGUGACUGGCUGGCCCCGAAUCGACAGACCCAGCAUCUUCUGACAGUCCUGUAGGGUCACUGUCAUCUCUCCGAACGAGAGGUGAAAGCUGUGAGUCUCGGGCCGCCACCUACAUUUCAUCGGAUUAUUAUUUGAUAACAUGUAAAGACAUAACAAAAUGAAUAUGAUUAGUGGUAAUAGUACCUGUCAACCAACGCCGUUAUAGCCGCUGAAUUGAACUUGGGCAUCCCACGACGAACCUGAUACGAGAUGACAUCUAGGCCAGCCAUCUGUAGCAAAGGAGUGUAGCGGUCGUCGUACUGCAGCGCCAAAAACCCAUCAUGGGCUCUAGAACGAAGGAGCGGAAGGACCUGCAUGCAAAUAAACCGAGUUAGAGAUUUCUUAGGACACAAGACGUGGACGCUUGCAAAGCUUUAAUCAUGAAUUGUAGAUUAUUACCUGCCCUGCCGCUAUGAGACGACCUCGGUGGGUCUGGUCGUACGCCUGGUCUAGAAGGUGGAAGUGCGCCAUCCUACAAAAAAGGCAAAAAGAAAUAAGAUUAGUAAACAAUAAAUCAUGAAGUUAGAGAUGUAGAAACACAACCUUUAUGAAUAAAACACAUAUCAAGUAACGAAAAGAGCUACUAGUCGCACCUCACUAAUCUGCCAACGGCAAGUGCGUGAAUUAUGACCCAAUCUGCCGCACUUGCCGCACUCGUUCUGUUCUGGAUCAGCAAGAAAUGGUGUUGCUCUACCACGCCUUGUUCUUCCGGAUACCUGAUCCAUAGUCAUGUUAUGCCUCGUCCGCUUCCUUGUUCCAUGUUUGUUCCAACGGUAUGCAGGAUCCGCAACAUAUUUUGGCCCAUCAUACGGAGGCCACUCUCUAGGAUCCCGGAAAGGCAUGAAGCGGGGGCUCCAUGUCCGCACAAGGGUGCCUACGCUGAACUCAUGUGGUAUCAUGCUCUCGAUAUCAAAAUUGCGAUGCCUAGCUGCUGCCACCAAAUGAGAACAUACAAAGUGGUACUGCCUUGGCCUACCACAAGUGCACUUGAAAUCUCGGAGAACUACCACAUGUAUCCUCGACUCUCGGAUCUCACCAUCGGACGUUGUACCGCCCCUAUGCUCGACCUGAUAAGUCCCUGAGCCGAGAUCAAAACAUUGCACCUCAUGUGUGGAAGCCCUUUCAUUUGCAAUGAUGAGAUGUCUCUUUGGUUUUUCAGCCCAUCUCUCCCCAGCAAUCUGCAACGCUUCUGCUUUUGCGUGUCUUUCAUUGAACCACGCAACAAGCCUGUAGAAGGUGAAUUCAAUGAUUGCGUUCACAGGCAUACCACGUAUCCCCAAUAACAACUUAUUGAAUGACUCGGCCAUGUUACUGCACUGAAACUCGUACCUCCAACCACCGGCGUCGUGAGAUCUAGUUCACUUAUCUAAAUCUCUCAUCAAACCAGCGAGCCAUUGUCUACCUUCUGCAUUUGUUGCGGUCCUUACCUGCUCCAAUUUGCGCUGAAAGUAAUAGUCCUCAAGCUGACGUGCUGCAACUUGAAACAGAUCAAAAUUAUCCUUAACACCAUCCUUCCGAAGUAGGUUCUCCGCAAGGUGCCGAGUGCACCAACGAUGAUGCAAAGGUGCAUAACCCUCUAUCUGUUCUUGCACAGCAUGAAGUAUGCCCUGAUGCCUAUCGGAUAUGACACCAACCUCCCUACCAGGACCAACCACAUGUAUCCGGACUAGUCUUAAGAACCACCCCCAACUGUCAUUGUUCUCCCUCUCAACCAAUGCAAAUGCCAAAGGAACCAACAUAUUGUUCGCGUCACAAGAUAUGGCUAUAAGAAGUGUGCCUCUAUAUUUACCAAUCAAAAACGUACCAUCAAUAGAGAAAACAGGAUGACAGUGCCUAAAGGCUUCCACAGACUGAGGGAAGCACCAGAACGCACGCCCAAAUAUCUACCUCUCGUCCUUCCAAGCAUUUGGCUUUGGGAUGUACUCAUAAUGCAUGCCUGGAUUCACCGCUUUAAUUGCAUUAAAAAGCACUGGCAGCUGCUCGUACCCAGACUCCCAAUCCCCAUAUAUCAUCCUCCACGCUCGCUGCUUAGCCCUCCAAGCUUUACCAUAAGUUAUUACAUAUCCUCCAUAAAUCUCCUCAACAGUUCUUAUAAUUGUUCUCACUUUCAUGUUGGGUUGUUCCUUCAAUAUUCCCAUCAACCGCUUCGCAAUGAGGGUAGAUGUUAGCUGCGGAUGUCUCACUGUAAGCUCAUGGUCAGCACAAUUGUGUGGACCGACAACUUUUGUGAUCUUCCACUUCCCGGUGAUAUUUUGCUUUCUUGCACAAACCCUCCAUGGACACCGUUCCUUGUCACACACAACUGUGUAACGGCGCUCCGCAUAUGAAUGCAACACUUUGUACGGUCUCUUCCGUAUCACCGCAAAAGCUUGCAACCAUCUCUUCAAUGCGGGAAGGUCCUUAAAUACCCUACCCUCCUCAAUAACCAUACUAGGACCAGCUUCAGGAGCUUCUAGGAGCUCAUCAUCACGUCCUUCUGCAAACGCCUGAUCGGAAAGAGUCAGAUCGCUAAACUCGUGAACUAUCGGAUCACGACGUCCAGGGAAUAUACACCUGAACAUCUCAAUAUCACUCUCUGUCAUCUCUCCAACAGGACGAUCAUCAUCAGAAUCAAGAUCCACUCCCAUCUCGUAUGCAUCUUCAUCAUUCAAAAUUUCAACACUAUUAGAGUCACGCAAUCCAUCUCCACAUUGCACUUGCGCAUCAACUAGAGGCACAUCCACAUUUUCUGGAACAUCUCCUGCGCCAUCAAGUACAAAUAUGAGUAAAGAAUAAGUGGAUGGAACGAAUGGAUUAUCUCUCAUCAAUAGAAACCGGUGAGACACUUACUCGGAUCAUUCUGAGUGAAAAGGAACUCAUUAGGAGAGUCCGCCACAUCAUCAACAAUCCGACAACCAUGUCCAACUACUUCAUUAGGGGCAGAUUCAGCAUCGGGAAUAGUAGGUGCAACAUCCACGUCCAUAACAGGUUUUGGGACGGGAGGAUCGAAAUGUGCCCGUUGACCCAUUGGUCGGGAAAACCGACGAGGAUUUCGAUCAACUCCCACCGGACGAACAACCACUUCAACACUUGGGGAAUGACCAUUCAUUACCGUCCUCACAUAUUUCUCCCACUGACCUGCACACCGAAUUGGGACCAUCUUCCUUUGAAUGUUGAGAGGGGAACCUAGGUGAAGUAUGCCCUCGACUGUGAUUUCAUCAUUUUCAUGACAAUGUAACUCCUCCCGAGCCCUUGCAACCAACUCACUAAACGAUGGUUUCUCAUCGAAUAUGACAACCUCGCACUGCAUGCCAACAAACUUAACACAUCCAUAUUUAUCCUUUUCCACAGUGCCUCCGUAAUAUAUGCUCACUACAUUCUCCAUCUAGUAUAUCAAUAUAACGACGCACAAUUCAUUUAGUCCAUAAUAAAUGAAACAUUCUAACUACAACAUCUCCAGUACGAAAUGAGAUAUUAUCAAUUGCCUACUAACUACCAAAUUCAUCUAACUAACUAUGUCAGACAAGCAACUUACUAUGCAACCUAAUAGUUAGUUAGGUACGUACCUAUACAACUGCUUAACUAAAUAACUAGUUUACUAUGUAACUAACUAUACAUCUAACUACGUAAAGAAAAUUGGACAUGCAUCUAGUUAUAUCGUUACAAUUCAUAAAGAUUAAUUUUCAUAUCUAACAAAUCUAUCUACCUAUUCUAAUUUACGUAUCUAACUAUUUCAUCUACCAAUUCUACCUACCUAUCUAAAUUCUACCUAACAAUAUAAUUCUAAUUCAUCUAUCUAACUAUUUUAUCUAGUUAACUAUAACUCUUCUUAGAGUUUUACCUCUCACUGGUGAACACUGGCGGCAAGGCGUGGAGGCGGGCACCGAGCGGGGGUCAGACGACCUCCGGUCGUGGAUGACGCGGGCGACGGGCCGUGGGCAACCGGCAGGGGCAGCCGCGGGCAAUGACGGGAGCGGCACAACCUUGAGAGCUCGGGCGGAGGGCGCCGGGCCGGCUGGCUCCGGGCGCCGGCGGCCGCGGGCAAGGUCCCACCGGACCGGGGGGGGCACGGCCGCGGGGGUCCGCGCGGGGGUGCCGGCCGGGGCGGCUCCGGCCGUCGGGCGGCCUUCGGCCGGCAACGGGGAGCUUCAGGUCGGCCGGGCGCGGACGCGGGGAGCUUCGGGCGGAUGGGCGCCAGCCGACGGGGCACGCGCCUUCGGGCGGCCGGGCGUUGGGCAAGGGCGGGUCGGCGGGCGCCGGGCGGGGGCGGCCGGCCUCCGGGUGGCGGCGGCGGCGGACUCCAAGCGGCGGCGGCGGGGAGCUUCGGGCGGACGGGCGCCGGCCGACGGGGCACGCGCCUUCGGGUGGCCGGGCCGGGGCGGCCGGCCUCCGAGCGGCGGCGGCGGCGGACUCCGAGCGGCGGCGGCGGGGAGCUUCGGGCGGACGGGCGCCGGCAGACGGGGCACGCGCCUUCGGGCGACCGGGCGGGCGCCGCGCGGGGGCGGCCGGCCUCCGAGCGGCGGCGGCGGACUCCGAGUGGCGGCGGCGGCGGACUCUGAGGCGGCGGCGGCGGUUUUCCUCGGGCGGCGGCGGCGCGAUUCGAAACAAUGCAAACAGACGCGCAAAAGGAAAGGGAUCCCGGUAUAGUGUUAAGAGGCUUGGCGCCAGGGAGGCUGGCGCCGAGCCUCGGCGCCAAGAUCUACGGCGCCAAGGCUUGGCGCCAGCGACGGUGGCGCCGAGCCUUGGCACCACAGAUCUUGGCACCGAGCCUUGGCGCCACAGAUCUUGGCGCCAAGCCUCAGCGCCACGUCAGCGGGCCGGCGCCACGUCGGUGGCGCGGUAGGGGGACUUUGGCGCCAGGAUGGCUGGCGCCAAGACGUUAUACCUUGGCGCCAGCCAUCAUGGCGCCAAGCUAAGGGUCCAUUUUCGGAAUUGGUUUCGCCAGGGGCCUAUUUGUGAGAUUUUUUUCGCGAAAAGGGCUAAAAUACAAAAAAGUCGAGGGGUGCCAUCAAGCGACUUUUUCGUUUUUUAACCCUUUUUGCGAAAGAUUCUCACAAAUAGGCCCCUGGCGGAACCAAUUCCAAAAAUGGACCCUUAGCUUGGCGCCAUCCACGCUGGCGCUAAGCUACAACGUCUCGGCGCCAGCCAUCCUGGCGCCAAGGUCUUUGCGCAGCUGCUUACGCGGAUGCCGACGUGGCGGGGGCUUGGCGCCAGCCAUGAUGGCGCCAAGCCUUGGCGCCAUGGAUCUUGGCGCCAAGCUUGGCGCCGUAGAUCUUGGCGCCGAGCUAUCUACGCCGUACCUCUUCUCGUUUCGAACUAAAGAAGUAUAAUUAUUCCGAGGAGUAUGCAACAAACUAACCUAUGGUUCAACUGGUUAGGAGGUGGGUUCCUUAUCCUGGAGACCCUGUACAACACUAGGGUUUGAACUCGGGUCUCCAGGAUAAGGAACCCACCUCCUAACCAGUUGAACCACAGCUUAGUUUGUUACACACUCCUCGGAAUAAUUAUACUUAUUUAGUUCGAAACGCGAAGAGGUACGGCGUAGAUAGCUCGGCGCCAAGAUCUACGGCGCCAAGCUUGGCACCAAGAUCCAUGGCGCCAAGGCUUGGCGCCAAGCCCCCUCCAUGUCGGCAUCCGCGUCAGCAGCUGCGCAAAGACCUUGGCGCCAGGAUGGCUGGCGCCGAGACGUUGUAGCUUGGCGCCAGCGUGGAUGGCGCCAAGCUAAGGAUCCAUUUUUGGAAUUGGUUCCGUCAGGGGUCUAUUUGUGAGAAUCUUUCAAAAAAGGGCUAAAAAAUAAAAAAGUCGGAGACCUGCCACAGGGUGCUUGCUUUGCAGAAAAAAAUCAGAAAAAAAAAGGCAGGCAGUCGCGUGCAUGCUCCCAGCAAGGAAAAUGAGGCAGAAAAAAAACAAAAAAAUGGCAGCUGCAUGCGCUGCAUGCAAAAAAAUAGCAGCUGCAUGCGCCCGCGCGAUCUGCAUGCGCCGGCCAGUCUGCACGCGUCAGGAGAAGAAGACCCACCUGCACACACCCUCCUUCCCACCCGGCCAGGCCCAGACGCAGGAGACAAGAGAUUAAAGAGGAUAGAUCGAAUCAAUAGCCAACUCCUCUCGUCGUCCUCCCCUCCAAAUCGAGGCAUACCCCAAACCCUAGCCAUCCCCAAUCCGGCCGCCGCGUCUACCGAUCCGUUAGAUUCAUGGCCGCCGCCGCUGCCGGCGACUCCGCUGUACCCAACUGGGUGAUGCUGGAGCGCUUGGUCUUCCGGAGGGACGACCCCGCCUCCUUCCGCGAGGACAGGAGGACCUUCGCUUCCGGCACCACCUCCGCCGGCACUCAAUUCGACGUCUCCUUCAUCCUCGCCGAGCCUCCCACCCCCUCGCGCCUCUACCUCUCGUGGCCGGAAGGGCCCAAGCAGGGGAGCCGGGGCCUGGUCAUGGCGGCCAACCGCAACCUCGUCCUCCUCAGGCUCGUCUCCCUCGUCGACGAAUCCGAGCCUUUCGGGGAGGUAGUGCAUGAUUACUUCAUCUACAUAGCUGAUCCCUCCUCACAGCGGACACCCCUGCUCAGACGGCUGCCCCCCUGCACCAAGUACAACAAUUAUUUUGAGAGGCAAGUUACUCGCGUUUUGCCGGCGCUGGCUGUUGGUCUGUUGUGCCAUGGCGAAGACGAGUUUGCCGUGGCGCAUCUGGACAUCAGGUCUCGCAAAAAAAAAUCAGGGUCUCGCAAAAAAAAAUCAGGUAUCCAAGCUGAGCUAUGCGUGCUACGCUCGUCAUUGUCCUGCAUUGAUGAUGCCAAAUGGGAGACCAAGAUCCUUCCGAUACAGUACCAAUACGAUGAUUUAUCCUAUGAUUUUCUGUACUGGGCAGUGGAUGGUGUAGUUCCCUUCAAGAAUGCCUUGUGCUUUGUUAACUACUGUAGAGGCAUCCUUUUCUGCGACGGCGUCUUUGAAGACAGCCCCAAGGUCUCCUACAUCCGCUUGCCUCUGGAUACUUAUAUCCGAGGGGCUGAUGGCGAAGCACGCAAGGGGAUGUACCAUGGCUUGUGUGUCACUGAAGGUGGCCAUCGGUUGGUAUUUGUUGAUGUUGCCCGUCAUGAUGGAAAAUGGUAUGGCCGGAGCAUGCCCAACACUGGUUUCACCCUCACCUACCGGACAUUGAAGAUGUCAGGGAAUUGCACCACGCUGUGGGAGUGGAAUGAGGAUGCUGUUGUCACUUCAGAUGAACUAUGGCAUGCAAACACCAUGGAGAGUCUCCCUCAUGACAUUGUGAUGCUCCCAUUGCUGAGUAUGGAUAAGGCCAAUGUUGCGCACCUUUCAUUGCUUGACUGGGAUGGUGGAUUCUCAUUAGUUUCCAUCGACUUGAGUAACAUGCAAGUGAUGGGCCCAGUCAUUACAUACCUCAAAGGGAAGGAUGAUACUGCUGAUGCUGACAUCGUCAAGGAAAAGAAAGGAUUAUGUGGACACUUUAUUCCAUCCGAAUUCCCCAAGUUCCUGGAUCUC